rnacentral:lncRNA from 1 species
UCAAAUUCUUCGUAGGCAUACGCACCAUCCUAGGGAUGAGAAAACCAGCGAAGAGAUUCCAAAAGCUUAGGAAAAACGACAUAACAAUGGCAGCAAUUUGAUGGUUGGGAGUGAGUGCCACGAUCAUCAUUCCAUACAAUGUGAAGUAAAUAAAGCACAUGAGUAGGUAGUAGUAGAACCAUAAGAACUUGUCCACUCGCCAGUAGAAUCCCAUCAUAGAGUAGAGGAGAAGACUGUAAACCAAAGUUUGGAUUGCAACGUAAAUUGCCUCUAUGGCCACCUGCAGGGCAUCCGAAUACAAGAUUAGUUUAAAGUUAAGCUCUACUAGAAAUGUGUCUGUUUCUCAUCAGUUUUCUCAAAAGGCAACCUGGGCAAAUGCGUAAGGCAAUGCUGAAUACAUCCCAGCUGCCCUUUCACGGUAGAAGACUGUUCUCUCAAUUGCCACAACAGGCUGCACUGAGGAAGUGUUGGUGGCUCCAAGGAAGAAGACAGCUGAAAACAUAGCUCCCAGCAGAUUUAUUAGAUCUUGUUCCUUGUCUCUGCAUACAGUAGUUGGGGUGUUGGUUCACAUUUUUUGUUAAUUAUUAAUGGAGAACAACCAAAAUAAUAAAUUUGCAAUACUUACGUCUUCUCUCCUUUGUUCCAGAAAAUUACUCCAAAUAGAACACCAAUAAUUAUGGUCAAGAAGAACCGGAUAGCAUUAUAGGGAGGAUUCCUCCAAUAAGACCAGUGCUGUUUCCAGAAGCAAGCCUUGCAUUGACUAAUAAAGCUUUGAGAGUAUUUGGUGGGGAAAUAAAGGUCUUUGGAUCCUGGUGAUGGUGUGCUCAGCUCUUUGAUGAGUUCCUGAUUCCUCCUGCAACAAAAAGGUGAGUGUAAUAAGUCAUUGGAAAAAGAAUUGAGACAGAAAGAUGAUGUUCCAAGGAAUCAUAAUCCACUUACUGAUAGAGUUCAGAUUUAGCAUAAAUUUCUGCAAAAUCCACACCAAGUUGAGCCUCAACUGCAGCAGAGCUGAUCUCCAGCAUCCAUGUAGCAGGAUUUUGACCAUCUCUGACUUUAGGAACCCCCGGGACAGCCUGCAGCAAGUUAUGGAUUUGAUCAUGACACACUCCUUAUAAGUAUAACAAUGGAGAUGGAGCAAGUUCACGGAAGAUGAAUAAUGCUCACUUCAAAGUACUCUACAAGCUUGUGAGAAUUGCGACCAAGAGCUCCAGCAUAAAUGAUUUGUCCUCCUCUCUUCAUCAGCAGUAGCUGCAGGCAAAAAUGAUGUUGGAUUGAAGAAAGGAAUGGUGACUCCAUGAUAAUCAUACCAAUAAGAAGUAUUAGAUUCAAAACCAUGAAACUGAGAAAUACCUCAUCGAAAGCUUCAAAGAUGUCUAUGCUUGGCUGGUGAAUGGUGCAGACAACAGUCCGCCCUGUAUCCACUGUGUUUCUAACAGUACGCAUAACAACUGCGGCUGCUCUAGCAUCAAGGCCUGUCGUUGGCUCAUCCAUGAAGAGGAUGGAGGGGUUAGCAACCAAUUCUACAGCUACUGUCAGCCUCUUCCUCUGUUCUGUUGAAAGCCCAUGUAUUCCGGGAAGGCCAACCAAAGCAUCCCUCAGGGGGUGAAGCUCAACCAAUUCCAUUACUUCCUCAACAAACACCUAUGGCACAGAAGGAACAAAAAAAAAAAAAAAAACAACUGAUGAAUAUAGCUUAUAAGAGGGUGAACUAAAAGAAAAAUCAUUCAUUUGAAAAAAGGACAUGCCUGCCUUGUUUCCUUCUUGACAUCUGGAGCAAGGCGCAGCCAGGCAGAGUAAACAAGAGAUUCAUAAACAGUUACAUUUGGAGAAUGUAUAUCAUUCUGCUCACAGUAUCCACUAAUACGAGCGAAAGUUGCUUGGUUUUUGGGGUAACCAGAAAUACUGAUACUUCCUUCAAUGUAUCCACCAGUUUUCCUUCCUGCUAACACAUCCAUCAAAGUGGUCUUUCCAGCACCACUAACACCAACUAAUGCUAUUUGAAUACCUGGCCUGAAAGCACCACUAGCAUCCCGCAGCAGUUGGAGACGAUCCGCUUCAAUUCCUUGGCUCUUCAUUCCCUGUGAUUGAAUCCAUAAAAAAGUUUCAAAGCUCUAGACCAAGAUCAUAUCCUAACACAUAUAUUAGUCUCACUGGUGUGUCUACAUACUCAAAACAAGUUACUUACAGCAGGCAUAUCAACAUAGUAAUUCACAUGCUCAAAUGCAAGUGAUAAGGGCUGGAAGGGCAACACCAUUCCCCUUUUAGUAGGUGUAUGAUUUGCAUCUUUGACAACUGAUUUGGUGCUUUCUCUAGUUUUCCUUACUUCCAUAUCAAUACCUGUUACCAUAGACCUACUAUCAGCUUCCAGAUAAAGAAAAUCUGAUGUUUAUGUUAUUUGUAAUGUACAGUAUCGCUAGCCUCUUCAAGAAGUGAUUAACAAGAAUUUUGUGAGGGUCAGGUAAAAAUCUGGUGUCUCCUAGAGAAGGAGAACCAAUAGCAAGAAGCAAGUUCAGAAAUUGUAGAACCAUACAAUAAUAGUUGAUGAAACAUUGUUAAUAGCAACAUCUUCUCCUCUCUGCAAAGGGAAAUUUGCAGCAUGUUUCAGAAGAAAUAGAUCUCAAAACUUAUCCUUUUUGUCCUAACAUUUUGAAAUCUCUCUUAAUAUCCACCACUUUGUUAGGCUUGAGUUUUAGGCUAUCAUGCUACUGGUUUUCGACAUUGAUAAACCACUCAGUUUAUUGAAAAUGAACACCAUAAGGUGGCAAUCACAGGGGAUUUGAUUCAGUGGAAAACUAGAUAUUGAAUUAUUGUUGAAUGGAAACUGUAUAUGGACCUAAUGCUUGGUUAAUAAAAUAUAUAGAAACGCUAGAAGACAAACAAACAACCAAAAACCAGAGGAGAUCAAAGUAGGAAAAAUCUUGAACCUUCAGACAUUGGGGCAGUAGCUGAAUUUCUUUCUGGGGUGGUCAGAUCAUGCUGUUUGUUAGAGAAAAACUGCUUCUCACUCUUUUCUUCAUUUUCCUCAUCAAUAAUGACAGAUUUUGAGUCUCCCAGAGCUGCAUUUGAGUUUCAGAAAAUUGUCAAAACUAGAAUCUUAUUUAAAUAAUACCCAGUUCUGACUGAUGGAUGGUAAUUCCAUGACUAGAACCUUUGGAGGGAAGGAAAAAGGAAAAUGGAGGUUAGUAUAAGCAAUAACUUACGGUCCAAAUAUGUCAGAGCUACAAUGAAACAGAUAUUGAAGAGCAGAGAAAACCCCAUGAGUGCACCAACACAAAUCCAAUACCAAUAGCCAUCCACAAACAUGCCUCUUGCCUUGAGAAGAGCUUUUCCAACUGUGGGUUCUGGAAUUCUUUGAUCGAUGUUGGGCUGUGCCAAAAACCGAUUAGCGUAUACAAAGACAGACCAAGUAAUGACGGCAGAAAUGCCAAAGCUUAAAACAAAGUGAGAAACAAUCAUUCAAAAGCUACUAGGAAACCUUACCGCACUCCAUCUGUCAUCAAGAAAUUCAUUGAUGACAAGCGCAUUUUGUCCAUACGUCAUUGGAGAAGCAUAAUAUCCCCAUAUCAUCCAUGGUUCAAUAUCAUCUGAGUAAGAAGGAGAAACAAAUGGUUUAUUACAUUAUCACUCAUAUGAUAUAAUCACAUGAAGAGUGCCCCUUGUCUCCCUUUCCACUUGAAAUAUGGCAUCAGUGUUGCAAAAACAAUCUGUUGAAUUUUGACUUAGUAUUUGCUGGAAUUUGAAUUUUGAAUAUUGCAGCUGGAGUCUUGCACAAAAUCUGCAACAUCUAGAUAUUUUCUUAUUUUUAUUUGGUCAAGAUUUGGUUUCUAUUUUAUAGGAAGUAGUUGUUCAUCAUCUAGUAGCUUGAUUUUCUGCUAUUCUAAUGUCAUUUAAGUUACAAGUUCAUGUAUAAAUUCAGCAUUCUUCAUCAAUAAAAUUAGAGUUCCAGCAGCCCAAAAAUACAUAUUUUAUAUAAGUGUUUAAUCCAAAUACCAACAAAGUGGUAUCAGAGCCAUAGUUAUCUUGAGGGGCCAGUGAGGUGAGUGAACCCAAACACCUUCUAAAAUCAUUUAGCAAUGGAAGAGUCAAGUCUCACAGUUGCACCAUCAAUUCUUGAUGGAGACAAUUAUGAAACUUGGGCUGUUAGAAUGACAGUUCAUCUACAAGCACUUGAUGUUUGGGAAGCAGUGGAAGAAAAUUAUGAAGUUCCUCCCCUGGGAGCCAAUCCAACUGUGGCUCAAAUGAAGUUGCAUAAAGAAAGAAGGACAAGAAAGGCUAAAGCGAAAGCUUGCUUGUUUGCUGCAGUUUCACCAUCAAUUUUCAUCAAAAUCAUGAAAAUUGAUUCAGCUGCAGAAAUUUGGGAGUAUCUCAAGGAGGAAUACAAAGGAGAUGAAAGAAUCAAGAACAUGCAGGUGAUGAACUUGAUUCGAGAAUUUGAAAUGAAGAAAAUGAGGGAGUCUGAUGCUGUUAAAGACUAUGCUGCACAACUUCUUUCAAUAGCAGACAAAGUUAGGCUGCUUGGAAAAGAAUUUUCCAAUGAGAAGAUUGUUCAAAAGAUAUUGGUUACACUUCCUGAGAAAUAUGAAGCUACAAUUUCCUCUUUGGAGAAUUCAAAAGAUCUGUCAACUAUUAGCUUGACAGAAUUAUUACAUUCCUUGGAGGCUGUGGAACAAAGAAGACUCAUGAGACAAGGAGAUACUGCAGAAGGAGCAUUUCAAGCAAGAAUGCAGAAAAAUGCAGGCCAUAAAAAUGGAAAGGUGAACAACAACAAGUCGUGUGGCAACAACCAGAAAAAUGGAGUUUUUCCACCUUGUCCUCAUUGCAAGAAGACAAAUCAUUCUCCACAAAAAUGUUGGUGGAGACCAGAUGUGAAAUGCAACAAGUGUGGUAAACAAGGACAUGUGGAGAGGAUUUGCAAAAAUCAACAGCAGGAAGAAACUAAUGCAGUAGUUGACUAUUGUCAGGAGGAGCAAUUGUUUGCAGCAACGUGUUUUGCUAAUAAAAGCACCUCUAAAAGCUGGCUUGUGGAUAGUGGUUGUACAAACCACAUGACAAAUAAUCAAGAUCUCUUUAGAGAACUUGAUAGAACAACUAUUUCCAAAGUCAGAAUUGGAAAUGGUGAGUAUAUUCCAGUGAAGGGCAAAGGAACGGUUGCUAUCGAAAGCCAAACAGGUUUGAAACUCAUUUAUGAUGUUUUGUUUGUGCCUGACAUUGACCAAAACUUACUCAGUGUUGGACAGCUCGUUGAGAAAGAAUUUAAAGUUUAUUUUGAAGAUAGGAAUUGCAUUAUCAAGGAUGCUGAAGGCAAAGAGGUGUUCAACAUAAAAAUGAAGGGCAAGAGUUUUGCCUUGAAUUUACUGGAAGAUGAGCAUACUGCUAUUUUACAACAAGAUAGCACAACAAUGUUUUGGGACAGAAGGGUCGAGCACUUUCAUCAUGAUGAUGUGCUCUACAUGAAGAAAAAUCAAAUAGUUGAAGGACUUCCUGACUUAGAAAAAGAUCUUCCUAUAUGUGCUACUUGUCAAUAUGGGAAGCAAACUAAACUUCCCUUUCCAAAGAAAAUAUCCUGGAGAGCAACCCAAAAACUGCAACUGGUGCAUACUGAUGUUGGUGGAUCUAAAAAAAUGCCAUCCUUGAAAUGGAAUGCAAACAAUGUUUGGUGGAUCUCAAAAAAUGCCAUCCUUGAAAUGGAAUGCAAACAAUUUUGGGCUAAAACUGCAAGUAGAGCAGUAUAUUUUCUGAACAUAUUGCCAACAAAAGUGUUAAAGAAGCAGACCCCUUUCGAAGUUUGGUUUGAGUGUCUACGUGCAAGACUUGGAGUUUGCAUCUACGAAGUCAAGGAGGAGUGUUGAAUUUUGACUUAGUAUUUGCUGGAAUUUGAAUUUUGAAUAUUGCAGCUGGAGUCUUGCACAAAAUCUGCAACAUCUAGAUAUUUUCUUAUUUUUAUUUGGUCAAGUUUUGGUUUCUAUUUUAUAGGAAGUAGUUGUUCAUCAUCUAGUAGCUUGAUUUUCUGCUAUUCUAAUGUCAUUUAAGUUACAAGUUCAUGUAUAAAUUCAGCAUUCUUCAUCAAUAAAAUUAGAGUUCCAGCAGCCCAAAAAUACAUAUUUUAUAUAAGUGUUUAAUCCAAAUACCAACACAAUCAGCUCAGUGCAUAGCAAAAAGACACAAAACACUGACCUUUGGCUACAAUGAAACCACCCAGAACAAAAACCAGUAGCAAUGUAAAGGUACCAAGAGUGUUGGCCACAAUCUGUGUUCUUCCAAGUGCUGCAAUGAAGCGGAAGAGAGAUAGAGCCAUCUGAUGCACGCCAAAGAAUGCCAGUAAUUGACGGAAAAACCUGAACAUUUUUCAAGUCUUGGGUUGUCUUAGUUCCAUUUGUGAAUGCUAAAACAAGAGUCAGGAAGAAUGAGGUCCAUUCACAUACCUACUAGCAGAAGGGGCAAACCCAAUAGUGUAAUACGUGAGAAUGAUCCAUAUCCCUGACUCCAUGAGUGACAAGGGGAUCCUAAGGACCCAAAUUGGUAAUGCAAAAGCCCAUGCCGGGUAAAACAAGAAAUCCCUCUGCUUAAAAAACACUGGGAGCCUGAAAAGAGUCAAUGCAAGCUCUGCCAUUCCGUUAAACAUUACAUUUAUGAGACUAUAAAACAGAGCCCCAUAGAAUUUUACUCCAUCUUGCAGUUGGCCAUGCUUCAUUUCUGUUCUGAAGAACACUGUCAUGGCAAUUACUGACAUGAUUGUAAUCUGGGUUGUCUUGAAUAUGUAUAUAAAAGAGUUGCGCUUCAUCAAUAGCCACUCCCUGGCAAAGCAUGCCUUGAAGAGUUCCCAGUUGGAGAUUCCAUACUUUUCUGUCACCAAUGCUGCAGGAUGGGUUCUGCUCUUAUUGUAAGGGAUUCCAAGGUCGUCUGAAAGCUUCUGGCCAAUGUGGAAAGAGUUGAAAUGUUGUGCAAACUCGGGCACUGAGAUAUAUUUGUAAGGUUCAUUGUGUCUGAACCAGUAUUGUUCUUGUUCCUUUCUGGAAGUCACCUCUUGCAAGAAGUCUGCAACUCCUUUUCUUUUUGGGCAUUUGAAGCCCACGCUUUCAAAGAACUCAAGGAUGUUUUCACGGGGACCUUGGUACACAAUCUGACCCUCACAUAGUAAGAUAAUGGCAUCAAAAAGAUCAUAAGUUUCAGGUGCAGGUUGGAGAAGAGAGAUUAUCAUGGUUACUUCCAUGAUAUGAACCAUCUGCCUCAUAAACUUGACAAUCUGAAAAGUGGUGGAACUGUCCAGACCAGUUGAUAUUUCAUCCAUGAAAAGAGCCUUUGCUGGUCCAACCAACAUUUCUCCUGCAUUCAGUUUCAUCAGUCAUAUUAGGCUUUUGUGGAAUAUUAAAAAUCUUAAGAACAAGGAUUCCUCAGAAAGCAGACAAUUCAUAAUUGAUCAGUAGCUCAAUUCAAAUUGAAGGCAAAUGCUUUACCACUAAGUUGAAAGAAACAAUUGAUAUAGGACAUAAUCAAUGGAAAUGGGGCACAUACCGGUAGUAACACGCUUCUUUUCUCCACCAGAAAUGCCCCUUCUCAUAUCAUCUCCCAACACAAUGUCAGCGCAGAUGUCUAAUCCCAGCAUCUGUUACACAGACAAUGUCAAAGAGCGUAAAGCUUGGGAAUGUAACUAAUAGGCCAGGCACCAAAUGGAAAUGGAGGUGCAAACCUUGAGCACAUAAUCUGUAACCAAACUAGUUUCUUGGCCUGCCAUUGCUGUUGCUUUCAUGAAUGCAUCUAUCUCAGGAUCUGGCUUAAUUGCAGAUUCUUUUUCUCGUCUUGACAAUUCUGCUAGUAGUUCAUAUCUGGUUCCAACUCCCAAACAUCGUCCUGAGAAGUCCAACGUUUCCCUAACUGUCAUCUCACCAUGGUGCAGAUCAUGCUGGCUAAUGUAAGCACAUGUUCUCUGAGGAACAAACUCUGAUAAUUCAUGACCACAGUAUGUGAUUUUUCCUUCCAUCUGUCCAUAAACACCGCACACAACAGAUCAAUGAGUUCAGGAAUCGGGGACUAUCACCAUCACUAAAUAAUUCAGAAUUAAGGAACAGUCCGAGGACAUGGGCUAAAACUAGGGAAGGAAAUAACGAUGACACAGUGAAGGAUCGAAUUGGAUAAAAAUAUUUGUCAGAAUGUAAGUUGGGGGGACAGCAUACCCUUAGAUCUUUGUCCAUCUUCCCAGCAAGCGCCUGCAGCAGGGUAGUUUUCCCUGAGGCUGGAGGUCCCAGAAGCAGGGUCAUUCUGCAAAACACAGAAGCUAAUCAAGAAACCAGCAAAGAAAGAAAGUGUACUUAAUGGGAAAUUUUUUUGUUAUCCUAUUGAAUUUUCCCAGAAUAUGUAUCAAUCAAAUUAUCUAAAGACAUCAUUCAGGAGAUUUGUGUUAUGGGUAACAUGAUUGAUUGAAUGGUACUUCCAAAAAUGGAAUACAUUUACCUUGAUGGUUUCACGAUCCCACUCACAUCUUUUAGUAUCUUGACUACCCUUUUCUUGGAUGAGGAAAGCCUAAUCAGUCCAAGUAUUCCCUGUUCAUGACAAUAAAUAAACACAAUCAUACUUCAUUUAUCUCUACAACAGUCUUCUCAAUUGAAGCAAACAUCUCCCAAAAACAUUAUCAGGAGAUUGAAGUCAUUCAUUAUAAUUUGCUGAAAGGGAAAAUCAAGAAUCACCAUCGAAAACAGAAGAAGAAAAACAAAGGGACAAACAGAACAAACUACCUCUAUGAAGUUCAUGGUAGAAUUGAGCAGAGUAGGAAGUGCUCUGGUUCCAACAUAUGCGUCUCCUUCCACUGAUAAAUGCUCAAACCGGACUUCGAUUUUUGGUAUCUCAACCCCAACCCUGUUGAGCAAACAGAUGUUAUGUUUCAUAAAACUUUUCUGGUAACAAAUUCAACCGGGGCAAAGCCAAAAGCAAAAAAACACAUGACCAACAGGGUGAACUUCAUGGGAAGAAAGAGAGAAGAGUGACCUAUCAGUCCUUUCCCUGAGCCUGAGAAGGAACUUCUCAUUAUCUUCUUCAACAACCUUAAGUAUACUCUCUAUGAGAUGCUUCCUCUCCUGCAUACCAAGAUUGGUGAAGUCAACUUCUUCAUGGACAACCUUCCCAUCAUCCAAAACUUGCUUAAGCAUCCCCUUCCUCAACCGCUCAAAGGUUGGAAGCCUUUCAAUGGCCGCCCACUUCAACUCUUCCUCAUCAUCCUCUCUCCUACUCUGAAAAACAUCACCUUGUGCUGACAACACCUCAAGAAUACUCGCAGAAGCCCAACUUCGCCUACUUCCAGACGCUAAACUUUUGCGCCUGCUGCUCAUGGACCUUGCUAGAUCAUCCCCAGCCAAUGCUGCAGCCAUUGUCACCCACCAAAACCCCUCAGAGUAAAGACUCCAAACCCCCCUUUAUAAUAACCCUGGAAAGCUCAGAUUCAACCGAUGAGCUCAAGAUGCUAGAGAAGGUGUGGAUGAAAUGGUGAGUAGAUGAGAUUGAUGGGCAUGGAGUGAUGUAGGAGGUGAUGGAGACUGGAAAGCGGUAGAGAAGUGGGCAUUACUGAGUGGCAGAGGAGAGUCUUUUAUGACGUACAUGAAAUUUUUAUGUUUGAUCACUUGACAGUUCGGGAGACUUGAGAGUUGGCUGGUGAGACUUUCAUGCAUAUGGAUGCAAAUCUUUUUCGGCUUAAUUAUGGCUGGCAUAUAGUUUGGAGAGGGUAAGUGUGUUUUUGGUGUCUCCGUGUUAGCUUAACAACCACAAUAAAAAUAAAAUAAAAUAAAAACCUAAAAUUAAUUAAAAUUUCACCCACCCAAGAAAAAGAUAGUACAUGUGUUGUUAAAUGCUACUACUUUAAUAUUAUCCUUCACUUAAAAAUGUAUAAAAAUAACAAUUAUUUUGAAAUCACAUCAUACCAUUUCAAAAAUAAAAAUUUCCCUUACAUGUAAAGGUUUUUUUAACAAAAAUAAAACAUUUGACCCCUCUAAAAAAACAAUAUAAAUUUAAUUUUAAAAUUUUUAAAAAUAAAAAGUGAUGGUAACUAAAUAUUAUUACCACGACCGAACUAAAAUUAAAAAAUAAAAUAAAAUCUUCUUUAAUAUUUUUCAUACUUAUUUUUUCUUGUUUUUUUGAAUCUUUUUCUUGUUUAUGCUUAGUUUUUAUGAUUGGUUUAACUUACCAGAGAUAGUUAAUGUUAUCCUUAAUUUACAUAUUGAUAUUUAUCUAUUUAUUAUGUAUUAGUUUGAAUUAUAAUAAAAUAUAGAAUUUGAUUUAGAGUGAAAGUUUACUAUUAAAACCUACUCCCAAUCGUGUAGAUAUUAUCCGUUUUGGACCCAAAGGGGCCCUCUCAGCUUUAAAACGCGUCUAAUUGGUUAAGAGGAGUCUCUACAUAUAUAACAUUAGGAACUUUCUCUUAUAUCCGAUGUGGGACAUCACAAACACUUCUUAUGCAAACACAACGUUUGUAACGACCCGCUCCCAACUAUGUAGAUAUUAUUCGCUUUGAACCCAAAGGGGCUCUCACGACUUUAAAACGUGUUUACAGGGUUAAGAAAAGUUCAUGCUUAUAUAGUGCUAUGAACUUUCUCCCCUAUUCGAUGUGGGAUGUCAUAAACAUCCCCCUAUGCAGACACAACGUCCUUGUUGUGUCCUACGAGAUUGUGGGGCCAAACAAACACCCUUACGGGACUAAACAAACCCCACACCGAGGUCGGGGAUCAGCUUUGAUACCAUUUGUAAUGACCCGCUUCCAAUCGUGUAGAUAUUGUCUGCUUUGGACCCAAAGGGGCCCUCACGGCUUUAAAACUCGUCUACAGGGUUAAGAGAAGUCCAUACUUAUAUAGUGCAGGGAACUUUCUCCCUUAUCCGAUGUGGGAUGUCACAAAAUUUUUGUAAUGGCCCGCUCCUAACCGUGUAGAUAUUGUCCACUUUGGACCUAAAGGGACCUUCACGGCUUUAAAACGCGUCUAUAGGGUUAAGAGAAGUCCAUACUUAUAUAGUGCAAGAAAUUUUCUCCCAUAUCCGAUGUGAGAUGUCAUAAACACCCCCCAUGCAGACACAACGUCCUCGUUGUGUCCCACGAGAUUGUGGGGCCAAACAAACACCCUUACGGGACCAAACAAACCUCACACCAAGGUUGGGGAUUGGCUCUAAUACCAUUUGUAAUGGCCCGCUCCCAACCCUGUAGAUAUUAUCCGUUUUGGACCCAAAGAGGCCCUCACGGCUUUAAAACGCGUCUACAAGGUUAAGAGAAGUUCAUACUUAUAUAGCGCAAGAAACUUUUUCCCCUAUCCGAUGUGGGAUGUCACAAACACCCCCCAUGCAGACACAAUGUCUUCGUUGUAUCCCAUGGGAUUGUGGGGCCAAACAAACACCUUUACGGGACCAAACAAAUCCUACACCGAGGUCGAAAAUCGGCUCUGAUACCAUUUGUAAUGGUCUGCUCCUAACCGUGUAGAUAUUAUCCGCUUUGGACCCAAAGGGGCCUUCACGGCUUUAAAACGCCUCUAUAGGGUUAAGAGAAGUCCAUACUUAUAUAGCGCCAUGAACUUUUUCCCUUAUCCGAUGUGGGAUGUCACAAACACCCCCCUAUGCAGACACAACGUCUUCGUUGUGUCCCGCGGGAUUGUGGGGCCAAACAAACACCCUUAUGGGACCAAAAAAUCCCCACAUCGAGGUCUGAGAUCGGCACUGAUACCAUUUGUAACGAUCUGCACCCAACUGUGUAGAUAUUGUCCACUUUGGGUCCAAAGCAGACAAUAUCUACACGGUUGGGAACAGAUCGUUACAUUGAAUUGUAGUAGAACCCAAAUAUAUUUAUAUAUAAAUACUUAGCAUCAUUAAUGAGAAUAGUAUGUCAUAUUUUCUUUAUCUAUAUGAUAUCAAAGCCUUGAAUUCUAAACCCUAAUUCAACUUAGAGCAAAUUUAGGGUGCAAGGCUCAGGCCCUACAUGCCUCCCCCUACCCUUACCGCAAAUCGUAGUGACCUUGCUAUGCCUAUGUAUUGAAUGUAGUAUUUUGAAAUACAUUUUCAUAGCCAAGAACUCCAAUUUUUCUUAGUUCAAACCUACUAGAAGUUUCUUCUCCUUUGCUUCCACUUGGUUCCUUUAUUUAACAUAUAUUUUUUUUAUUCCCUUCAACUCUACCUUUCUCUCUUUCUUUAAAACCUUCAUCAAAGAUAUAUUUUCUUUAUUUAUAUAACUAAAUCAUAAAAAAAAAAAUACUUGUUAAGUUUUUAUUAACUAAUAUUUUUACCUGGAAGUAGGAAUAUAAUGUGAAUCGAUCAAAGUUUAACCAUUAAGUUGCAAGUGUUUAAUGAUUUAUUAUAAGUUUUAAGUGAAAGACUUUACUUUCGAAGAUAGUCCAUUAUUUGAAAAAGAAAAAAAGCUAAGAUAUUGAUUUUGUAUCUAUGAAAAUUUUGGAUACCCGAAUAUAAUGCUACCAAUAAUUGUACUAAUGCACAUAUGUCUCUCUCCCAUCAAUCGGUACUAGUUAAAGUAAUGGAAAUUCCCAUAUUUGUUUGAUGAGAAAUUCGAAAGAAAAAAUAUAUAUAAUAUAAAUAAAAUAUAAAUAAAAUAUAAAUAUAAAUUAAGAAUAAGCAUCCCCUGUAGAUAAAUAAAUCUUUUUUUUUUUUUUUAUUGGAUCCGUCGGGACUGACGGGGCUCGAACCCGCAGCUUCCAUACCCGAUUCAUAACUAGAAAGUUUCUCUGGUCCUUUACUAAUCGGAGCUAAAACUCUGGAAAAUUUUAAUGUCCACUUUUGAAAGCAUAUAGAAUUCUAAGUUUUUUGAAUGUAAGUAUAAAAAAUGAAGUAAGGUAUAAAUAAAUAAGAUUAAGUUGUAAGACAAUGAGAUCUAAAGACGUUAAACAAAAAUGAUUGAAUUCUUUAAAAUAAUUUUAAAUGUUUUUUCUUUAAAAUGACUAAAAUUAUUGAAAAUUUAUAAUUAUUUUUCUUUUAAUUUUUUUAAUUCUUUUAUUUUUUAUAUAUCUAAAAUCUAAAACUUUUUUCAAUGUUCUUAAUACCAUGUUGUUUAAUUUGAUACAUUUUUAUAAUUAAUAUUUAAAAUUAUUUAAUUUUUUUAAUAAUAAUAUAAAAUACUAUUAAUUAGCUUACAAUUUAUAAAUGAUAACUAUAACAUUUUUCUUGGAUCCCUCUUAACAAAAGUCUCUGGCUCGGCCAUUGGUUCACGAGUCUCCCAAUUUCUAUCCAACUUUUAUCUUAUUAUUUUGUAUUUUAAUUUUAUUAUUUAUAUGGGAGUUUUAUAUAUUUCUUAGUAUAUACUUAGAAUAGAUUAAUUUAGAAAGUUGGUAUGUGGCCCAGAAGAGAGGCAAUUUGGACGGCCAACGUGGCAUAAAUGCGUCAACUUGACUGACAAAUCACAUUAAACCCUUAAUGCCCAUGCCUUCCCAACUGCCUCCUGCUCUGAUUGAUAUUGAGUGGAAGUAAAUGCUCUAUUAAUAUCCCCUUCUAUGAUUUUGACUUUCAUUCAUUACACCCCACAUUUCUCAAUCCAACAAAUGUCGACAUGACAGAAGUAGAGAAAAUUAAAAUCUUCAUCUAAACAUCAUGUACGGGGAAUAAAUUCCCUAAUUAAAAUUUCUUGACCCCAAUUAUUCACGGAUUUUUUAAAUAAAAAUGUUAUUUUAAAAAAUAUUAUUAAAAUAUAGUUGCAAAAAUAUGAUGCUUUUUAACAUAUUUUUUUAUUUAUAUCCUAAAUUUAUCUUUUCAAAAUAUCAAUUCACUUUUUAAAAAAUGAUUUUAUUUUUUGUACUGUAAGGAUCAGUCAUAUUUUUACCUUAGAACAUUUUAUAUUGAAUUGGACUUUUCAAAAAAUGAAAAGACGAGUUCUACUUGUAAUUAAAAAGUGUUGCAAAUUUAAAAUCAUUUUUUAUAUUACGGUUAUUUAAAAAAUGCACUACUCUUGUAGAAAUCUCAAUUAUUCACCUCAUCAAACAAUUUUGAAAAAAAAAUGUCAUGUUUAAAUCUAGUUUUUAUUUUUAAGAUCAGGCAAGAACCUAAUGUUUUAAAAGCCUAACUAAUUAAAAAAACAAACCAUAUAUUAUAAAUGGAGUUUUUUGAAUUAGUUUUUAAAAAGAUGUGGUGAAUAAGUAACCUUAGAAUCCAUUUUUGGUAGUGAUUUUAGAAUACUUUUUUAACACAAAAAGUGUUUUUGAAAACAAAUUAGAUGGUUUAAAAUUUUGUAAAAUCACUUAUAUCAUUAAAAAAAUCAUUUAUAACAUUUUCUAGAAAAACAAUUGAUAAAUGAUUUUUCUAAAAACAUUUCUAGGUAGAAACAUUGCGAAAUACAGUAUUAAUUUAUUACUUUUUUUUAAAUCUUUAUAAAAUGAAUGAAGAAACUUUUCAAGCAAACAAAUUAAUACAAAUAUUAUUAAUAUAAAAUAAGUUGGAAAAAAAAGGGAAAAAUCGAUGCAUCAAAUUUCGUUUGAUUUGUAAUCUUUUCGUCCAAUGAGCAAUCAUCUUUCAUUUCUCAUUUAUAUAUAAAUAUAUAUAUUUUUAAAUUUUUUCAAAACAAAUGAAUUCCAAUGGGAAACUUAUGCAUUAGAUUCUUUAAUGAGCUUAUUAACUUUUAGAAAUGAUUUGAAAUCUAGAGCAGUGUAAAAUCCUAUAAAUAAUUGAGGAGUAUAUGCAUGUGUGACAAAAAAGUUAAUUUAUUUACAUAAAUUAGCGUUCUCCCUCUUUCUCCUUUUGUUUGAGAUUCAACGAAGUCAACAAGUACAUAUGUUGACUAAUCAGCUUUGGUCAUGAUCAAUACACGAAAUAACCUCGCAAUUUCCUUGUAUUUAUGUUUCUGUGAAGUCCAAAUUCAUUUAUUACUCAAAGCAUUAAUUUCAGAAAAUAAUAAAUAAUAUUUGUUUUUUAAGAAUUUUUCUAUUCCAUUGAAAAGCCGAUUUUUCAAUAUAAUAUAAAAAUAUGGUAAUGCAAGAAAUAUUGUUUGAUCCUAUUUCUUUGAACCUGUGUUGUUUUUAUUUUUCAUAUCAAAAACUCAAAUCUUAAGUUAGACAUUGUAUUGAAGGGGCAACAUAAAAUCUUUAUUAUUCACCUCAACUAAGUGUUAUUUUUUAUUUUUUAUUUUUUAUUCUUUUAUUUCCCAAUUUGCAGAUCUAAGAGGUUGGAUUUGAAACUAUUGGGUAAGACAUAAUCUUGGUUUUGUUAAAAAAAAUAAAAAUAAAUAAAGAAUAAGAAAUAAAGAUUAAAAAAACGCAUGAGAAUCCAAUUGAGAAAGUAAGAAUUUUCAUUUUCUAAAGCCCGCAUGCAAUUUGGGGUGCUUGAAUGAACUUGAUAUUGAAUUUCAUUUCCAACAAAGGAAUUUAGGUUCAUUUGGAAAAAAAAAAAAUCAUAAAGAAUAUGAAAAAUAAAACAAAUUAUUAUGGGGAUAAAUUAUUGUCAUAAAAAAAAUAAAGAAUUGAGGUAAGAAAUUCAGAGAAAGUGAACUCAUGAAAGUAUAAAUUUCCAAUAACCUUUAUUUAAGGUUAUAAUCGUAAUGAGUACAAUAAAUUAUUCUCUAGAUUUAUUACAACGGAUAAAUUGGUAUUAAAAAACAAUAGGGAUACUAUAGAAAACAUAGAUCUUGAGAAUAAAACUACAUACUUUGAUUCAGAUGUUCCUGGAUCGAUUUCGGUUGAUAUAGAUAACUCCAAAGUAGUAAUGAAUCUCAUAAACACCAUGAUCUUCAGUCCGAUGACUCUUCCUUGUGUUGAUGAUGGAGAUCUCAAGGGUGGAGGUUAGGGUUCUCUCUUUAGAUUGAAGGGGAGAAAGACAAGACAUAAAAACCUUUACCCCUAAAGGGGUAUUUGUAGGUUUCUUACUAGGCUUAAGUGCCUUAAGCCCACCAUGGACUUGGGUUACUUAAUCUAGCCUAAAAAAGGUUGCUAAUUGAUUAAUUAACCAUACAAUACCCUAAUCAAUCAAUUAACCCAGUCCAAAGAUACUACUCACUUAUCCUUGUGCAAUCUUAUGUAAUUACCAAAAUACCCUUAUACAUAAAGUGAACUAAAAACACAUUCAAUCCUUAUAAACCGCGUCAUCAAGGAAUAUGAGCUUAGAAAGGGGGCCAUUGAGACCCAUAGGAGUACUAGCUCCCUUACAAUUAAAUUUUGAAAUUGACUCAAUAUCCUACUAUAGAGAGUCAACUACACUCCAGUACCCUAUCUAUAUUACAACGAGACACCAAGUACUCUAGUUCAUGACUUACUAUCCAUUACAUACAGGCUCCCUAUGAACUAGUCCAUAAUCUAACAAGGUAGUGUUAUCACUUAUUAAGAUUACCUAUCAAAUCUUUUAGUUAUAGAUCUCACUUAUUCUAUGAUCAAAUGAUAUACUCUAACUUUAAGGAGCAUAUGUCAAAUUCCAUUAAAGGAAUUAUUAUGUCCACAAAUUUCAAGAUCAUUGGCAUUUGGAUCACCCAAUGGGAUACACUAUUUCAAUCCCAUGAGAAAUCAUGGUGCCUCUAUUGAGAAUACCUGUUGCCACUAGCCUCCAUCAAGAGUGAUCCAAUCCAUAGGGAUAUAUAACCACUUUAGGGUUUUACCUAUAGGUCAAAGCCUCUUGUUGAUUUUGGCAUAGACUCAAUAUCCUCUCAAGGUUGAAAGUUCAUGUAAUACAAUAGCUUGGUGAAUUAAGACAAUUGGUAGUCUUACCAUGAUUCACCCUAAGUUUUGUUCAGUGUGCAUUAGAUACACUAGUGCACUCACCAUGGGAAACUCAUCUCGACAGUUAAGACAAGUCAUCCCUCAAAUUAGGAGGUAGUGCACUACGAUCUCUACUAGAUUACCCAAAUCCAUGAACCAAUUGUGGACAACUUAUCUACUUACAAAGAACCCAUGACUUGUAUAUUCUGUGCAACUCCUAAUGCACCUAAGUCAUGUAUAAUGUAAGAGACAUAAACUGAAUACUCAAAUCAAUGUCAAUACACCAAAAGGAUAGCAAGAUGAUAGCUAAGUUUAACUUUGUUACACUAUAUCUUGGUUUCAAGGGCUCAAUCCCAACAAACUCCCACUAGUCCUAAAAACAAACUAGGCAACGUAGAAAAAAUUAUGCUUCAUAGUCUCAUCACCUCUCAAUACUAUAUCACAAUAAGGUAACACUUUUUCUUUAUGUGUUUUCUCUUUUAAUGGUACUUUAGUUCUUUAGACCAUGCCACUGUCCCAUUGUUAUCACAUAUCAGGAUCCUAGACAAUAUAGCUAAGGGAACUAGCCAUAAGCCAAAAGGCUUCCUUUGUUGCUAUAGAAAUAACAAAAAACCAUUUAAAGUAUACACAUACUUAGAGGUAGACAUACGAGAGUUCCUAUCAAAUUGAAGUUCAAUUUCUCGGUAAGAAAGGAGUACCAACUCAUCGCAAAGACUCACAAACAUAUAAGCCUUUAUUCUUUAAAGAUACUAGAGUAUAUGUUUGACAUCUGCCCAAAUCUCUAAUAAGGAAAUUGACCAAUAUCCACUCAUUAUUCCUAUAACAAAACAAAUAUCUGGUCUAACACAUAGUAUUGCAUACUUAAGGCUACCCAUUACAAAGGCAUUGAAUAUCGCCUUAAUGCUAUCUUUCUCCAUAGAUAUCCAAGGACAUUGAUCCUAAGAAAGACAACUCCAAAUCUAAAGAGUAAUAAACAUUCCUAGAGUUUUGCUUCAUGUACUUGACCAAACGCUUAUCUAUGUAGGUGACAUGACACAUUUUUCCUACUCUUGCAGUCUUAAAAGACCUUAGCCCCAAGGAUAUAUUGCGUCUUCCUCUAAAUUUUCAUCUAGAACUGAGUAAACUACUAGAUCUUAAUUGAUGACAAUAUUUCUAUAUCAUAUCCAAUGAGUAUAUUGUUAUCUACCUACAAGAUCUUAGAGUAUCACCACUCUUCCUUGUACCUUCUUAUACACACAAGACCCUUUGUUAUGAAAAUGUUUAGUUGUUGUAUCUUACAAACGAGACACACUGCAAUAGAUAUGAGUAAUCUAAUGGAUUUGAGUAUGACCACUGUUAAAAAGGUUUCCCAUAGUUGAAAGAAAGUUUCAAACUAUAACCUUUUGCUAUAGUCUUAACCACAUAAAACUCAAGCUUUCCAUCUACUUCUGUGUUCCUCUUGUAGACCAACUUACACCUAUAGGUUUUAUCCUCUUUAAGUGCUUCUAUAGAAAUCCAACCUAUGUUAGAACUACCUCUUCAUAACUCCUUACCUUAAGUGAGGACAAACACUGUUCACCACUUCAUCAUAAUCUAUAAGAUAUGAACCUCCCACUAUGAUGAGGCACUAGUGUAUUAGAAAUAAUGGGAAUGGUAUGUUUUGAAACCUCUGGAUCCAUAGUAUCCUAUGCAAUGUGGGAUUAUCUUAUAAUAUAUCCUCCAAUAUGUAUCACUUUUUGCCUUUUUCCUUAUCAUAUAGUCUUCAUAAAAAAUAUGACAUUUGUGUCAAGAAAUAUCUUUUGGUGAUCUCGACUAUAAAGGUAAUAACCCAAAAAUCCUCCUAAAUAUCCUAUAAACUAAUAUACCUCUUAAGAAAAAGAGGUAUUACACAGUGUAUAAGACAUAUCCCUAAAAGAAUUCGGAAAAAUAUGAAAAACCUAUCCACGAUCUCACUAGGACCAACCAAGUUUGAUAUCUUCUAUCCACUUCUCCAUUUUGUAAUAGAGACCCUGGUGCACAUGCCUAGGAAAUAAUCUCGUGCUCCAAUGAAAAGAAUUAAACUUAUUAGACAUAUCACCUUGAUCUAAUCGAAGUGACUUGGUAUUUAUAUCCAAUAGGUUAUCUGAUCCUACCUUAAAUUCAAUGAAUAUAUCUAAGGCAUCGAAUUUCCUAUGUAAAUAUCCAAACCUAGAGUAAUCAUCACUAAAAGUGAUAAAAUACCCAUACCCUUCCCAUGCAUGGACACUAAAAGUUCCAUACAUGCUAGUAUGCACUAACUCCAAACAUUCCUUGGCUCUAGUCCACUUGGUCAUUUUUCCAUCUAUAUAGGAUUCAUAGACUGAAAGAUCUUCUAGAAUCAAAGAGUCCAGACUUUACUAGUCUUUGGAUCUUAUUUAGAUUAAUAUGACCUAGGUUUAGAAACCAAAUGUUUAAUUAGUGCUAGGUUUAAUAAUGAGAUUUAACUAUUCUCAUCACUUGACAAAGUAAUAAUGGAAUACAUAUAAAAGACGAGAAUAUUACCUUUCACUAGUCUGCAUAGCUAACCUUGCAUUUGAAGCUAAGUUAAAUAUAAUCCAUCAUUUAACCUUCUCACUUGUUGAAUAUUCUAUAAGGACUUAUAAACAAUGGGCCUGGAAUCUAUCUACCAUAAAUGGUGAAAUCUACCACUAAAUAUUCAAUAACGAGAAAAUGAUGUAUGCUUUCCUUGUUCCUUAAUGUAAAUUGGGCAUUCCUUUUCUAGAGUCCUAAAAUGUCAUAAAGGAAUCACUUUCCUUUGAGCUUGCUCUCUUAUUCUUUCUCUCUAACUUUCCUUAUUUGGUGUUAUUCUUCAUUUUCUUGAGAGAAGAACCUAAAGAACCUUUGACUUUCAUAUGUACACUCUAUAAUUUUUAAUAAUCCCUUUAGCCAUCCCGAAGGAAAAUGACAAGGUCUCUAAGAUCAUAUAUAUGAAUACUAGUGUUCAUAACAGUCCUAAAAGUAGCUUGUCAAUGUUGUCCUACCAUUAUCAUCAUUCCAAACUAGAAAGUGUAUAUGAAAGUCUUUAGUAAUAGAGAUAUGUUGCUAUUGCAACACAUUAUCCAAAGAUCCAAGUGUUACACACUUGGUCUUCUAAUACAACCUUGAGAUACCACUCUUUCCUUUUGCUAGGUUAGUUCAUAAGGAAUAGUUAGCUCUACCUAAACUAGCUUCUAUGUAAUUACUUGUUAUAUCCAUAAUGAAAUUAGUCUAAUUAAUUAGUUGGGCUUGGCUUAUUGUGAGAAAGAGAGUGAUAAUAUAACCAACAUGAUAUCUGUAAAAAAGAAUAUAAUCAAGCAUAUGACAUAAUUUAGCAUUUAUGGGAAUUGGUAAUAAAUUUAGCAAAAAUGUAGUGUUCUCAAACUACAUGUCAUUUUGUAUAUUAGUAUCAUAAAAAUCAAGUCUACCUUAUUAAUAGUUAAAGACCUUCUUAGAUUGAUCUCAUUGCCUUAAGUAUAAAGGUAUCUAAAGGCAUGAUCAACAUACUUUUUAUUUGGCCUAUGGACUAUGCAAGUAGGACCGUGUGAAGCUAUUCUACCACUUCAUAUCCAAUGUCAAGUUGUGGACCCACAUUUUCCAUGUGCGUUCCCACUCAAACGGCUAGACUUGUUUUUUUUUUAUUUAUUAUUAUUAUUAUGAAAAAUUGAUUUUUUGAAAAAGACUUGGAGUUGUAACUUAUUUUUGUUUUAUUUUUUAAAAGGGGAAACAAAAUAAGAAAAAAAAAAGUCCUAUGUGAAUCUUUAUUUGGAAAAGACGUGUAUGCAAAAACUGAGUUUGAAUUUGGGAAUCAAGUUACCUAUCAGGAAGGUACGGUAGUGUGUCAUAGCACCCCUCUAAGAUUGUAUACAUACGACCUCUACUAAAUGAAUGAAGGGAAUUGUGACAAUUAAUUAAUUGAUCAUGGAUACCGAGAAAAAGAACCACAAAUAAAUAUAUACAAAUCAUUGCGAAAAUCAAUAUAUACAAAAAUAAUGAUGAAAUCAAAAUACAAGUAUAUACAAAAUAAAUGACAAAGAGAUUAUGCAAAUCGAUUUAUUGAACUAAUUAAAAAAAUAUAUUCAAAAAAAUUAUUUUUUAAAGACAUUUCAAAGGAUUUUAUUAAAAAAAAAAGAAACAAUUUUGAAUUAAUGAUUUCAAUUUAAUUAUUUACAAAAAAAAAGUGUCAAUUUAUUUUCAAUAAAUGCUUUGAUUCAACUUUAUUUGUUUUCAAUUUUUAAAAAGAGUUAUUUACCCUUAUUGUAUCAAAAGAACUUAUUACAAAAUUUCAAUUUGGUAACAAAUUUUUACUUGUUUUUACUAGAAAUGAAUGAAUUUUUACAACUAUAUUUACAAAAGUAUCUUAGUUUGAUUUUUCAUUUAAGAAAAGUGAUUUAUACAAAUUAUUUAUAAUAAAUAAAUAACUUUAUUUGCAAAAGAUUUUUUUUUUUUAAAAAAAAGAAAAGACUUUUAUAGGUUUAUUUACAAAAAUGUUAAAAUUCAAUCCAAUUUUAAUCGAAAAGUGAAUUUUCACAAAAUUAUUUACAAAAGUGUCUUAACCCCUUUUUUAUUUAUAAAAAAUAAUUUAUUAUUUGGUUUCAUUAAAAAAAAUUUAUUGAAAAAGAGAUUUUAUCUUUAUUUGAUUUAAAGGUAAGUUAUUCAAUUUUAUUAGAACUUAAAAAAAUAAAAUAAAAUAAAAUAAGUCUUAAAGAUUUGAACUUUACAAAUAAAUAAAUAAAUACCAAAGUUAAAGAAAAUCAUUUUUUCAUAUUUUAUUCACAAAAGCAUUCCAAUUUGAUUUUUGUUUUCUUUUAAAAGGAUUUUUUUUAAGAAAAAAAGGAAAUUUACAUUUUCACAAUUUUAUUUGAAAAGAAUUUAAUUUAUUUUUAUCAUUAAAAAUAAACAAGUAAAAAUAAGUAAAUAAAUAAAUAAAUAUGCUUAUAAAUUGCUUAGAAGAUUCAUGAAGAUUUUUUUUUUUUUUAAAUAAUUUUGUCUAAAAAAAAUUACAAUUUUAUUUGCUUAAAUAAAAAUAAAAUUAAAAGCUAAAAAGAAGAUUUUUUUUUGAAUUUUAUUUCAAAAAUAGAUUUAUCUUAAAAAUAACAUAAAAUUAUGAGUUUGUCUAAAAGAUUGAAUUUUUACAAACCUUUACUAAAGACAAAUUUUUACAAUUUUAUUUAAAAGGAAAUUUUCCUUUAAAAAAAAAAUGAAGAAAAAUCUGCACAAGUUUUAUUAAAAAAAAAAAAAUUGUUCAUAAAGAAAAUAUUAUUCCAAUCUUAAUUUUAUUUAAGGGAGAUCUUUACAAAUUAUUUGGAAAAAGUACAUUUACAAAAUUAUGUACAAAGUAGGUAUUUAUUUAGGGAUGAUUAUUUACUUGACUUUUAUUGAAAAGGAAUAAAAUAAUAAUAAUAAUAAUAAUAAUAAUAUCUAAAAAAGGAUUUUACCUAACUUUAAAAAGAUAUUUUUUAAAAACUUUAUUUAAAGAGAUAACUUUGCCUAAGAUAAUAACAAUAAUAAUAAUAGAAUAAAAUUAUGACUUUAAGGGUUGAAUUUUUUAUUUACUUUUAAUAAAGAUAGAUUUUUGUAAUUUUAUUUAGUGAUAACAAUAAAUCAGGCUCCACCAACUUCUACCCAUGCCAAUACCUUGCUUCAACCACCCCAACUACUCAUAUUUUGCUCUUCCCACUCUCAACACAAUGACAAAAGACAACCUAAUCGUAAGAAAACCCAAUAUGAAUGAACUUCAAUAACCCAAAUCAAUAAUGCAUAAAGCCAAAUACAAAACAAUAACCCGAACAACAAAGCCUAAAUAGAACAAAUACAUCAAACACAAGUCCAAUUAAAUGAAAUUCGAGCCUAAAUUCGUAAAUGAAUAUUGUAGAAAUUAAAUAACAUAACAUAAAAUAAAAGUAAAAAAUAAAAGAAACAAAAUAAAAUUAAAUUAAAACUUACCUAUCUCCCAAAGCCGUGUAUAGAGAUGUAGCAACAAUGGGAGAUCGGUAGCCAUGGGGAGCGAAAAAUGAGAUAGAGGCACGCCUAUGGCGAGACAUAAAGGACAAUAAAAGAAAAAAAAAGGAAGAGAAGGAAUAAUAUAAAAAAUAAAUAAAAGAUAAGAAAAAGAGAUAUGCGGGAUGAAGUGGCCGGAGAAAGGUCAACGAUUGUGGGGUUGUCGGUGAUUAGUUGCCAUCGGCGAUGACCGUGGGCCAAUGCUCCCGCCAUUGGAGAUGCUGUGGACGAGAAAUAAGAAAGGACAGAGAAUAAAAAUAAAGAGAAAAGAAAGAGGAAAGAAAAAGAAUGGGAAAAAAAUAAUAAUCAAGGAUCAGUGAGUGGAGAAGAGAAUAUGGGAGAAAGGAAGAAGAUAAAAGAAAGUGGGAGAAAGGAAAGGGAAAGGUGAGGUGGCAGGUAUGGAGAGGAGAGAGAGAAGUUAAGGAUUUAGGGUUUUUUUUUUUAAAGAAAAAAAAAAAGAAAAUGGAUGGUAGGGAUGGGGUCUAGAGAUGAACGACCAGUAUUGGUUCUCUAAAGUAAGAAAUGGGCUUGGAACUUUGGCCCAAAAUGCAAAACAAAAAGGCCCACCAAAUUUAGGGGUCUACACAAGUGUAUAACCAUUAUCCUCGAACUAUCAUUGUCACCAAAUAAAGAACCCCACCAUGGGGGUGGUCACUCUCACUAUAGAUAUAUCUAGUUUUCUAUACACAAUUCCAAUUAAUAAAUAUUUUAUUUAGGAAAUGUUUCAAAGAAAUUUAUUUCCAUCAAAUUACUAAAUCUUUUGGUAGUAAUAUUUUAAUGAUAAAUUAUUUCUAAUGAAAAUUUUCAAAACAUUUAUUUUCCAAAAUGGAGACACUUGUAUAAUAAGGAAAUUGCCAAUUUAUGAGAUUUUGAAUAAUCUUGAGAGCACCUUAUCUAGGAAAGGAAUUUUUGCUUCUUAUAUUUAAAAAUCCUCAUAAGAUUAACUUUUCUUAUUCCUUACACUUUUCUAAUUUAAUAAAUAUUUCCAUGGAAAUUUCAUAAUAAUUUAUUCCAUUAAAUACUACCAAAAAUAGAACCUUUUAAUAAUUCCUUAAUAGAUAAAAUAUUCUCUAUGAAAAACUACCAAAAAUGUUUAUUUCCAAAAAUGAAUUAAGCAAUCCUUUUUCAAAAGUAUUUUCAAAAUAUUUUAUAUCUCCAUUAAAUUACUAAAACUUUCCAAAGUUAUUUUGGUAACCCUUCUUAUUAUAAAUUCUCGAUCAUAAGAUUUUUCAAAUCUAUUAUUUACUUUUAAACUGAGACUCCUGUGUUAAAAGAAUUGUUCUCUUAUUUUUUAUCAUUAAACUAUCCAAACGAAAUGGUUUUCUUCUUCUCUCUAGUGGGGAGAGCUUGGAUGACCAACCAUAGGUAUAUUUUUCCUUCUUUCACCGAGAAAUAACAAAAAAACCACCUAAAGUUUAAUAAACAGAUAAUCAUAAAGAAAUAACAAUCUUCUUAGCAACAACCAGCUUAAAUAGAUAAUCUUAAAAAAAUAUCUUCUCAUGAAAAUUUAAGAAGAAUACCAAAAAACUUUUCUUUGUGUUCUAAUACUUAUUUUGGUAACCAUUCUUAAUUAUAGAUUAUCCAUUAUGAAUUUUCAAAUUAACUUAUUUUUUUAAAAUUGGAAAUAGGAAAAAUACUAUUUUAUAAAGAUAUGAAAAAAUAAGAGUUUUUCCUUAAAAAAAAAAAAAAAUUAUUCUUAGAGAUCUCAAAGAUUUGAGAAUAUUUUAAAAAGGUAAGAAAGCUCUCAAUCGUUUUUCCAACUUAUCUUUUCUUUAAAAUAAAAAUUCCUAACCAUGCACAAUCCAAUUUAAAUAAGUUUUCCAAUUUUUUUUUUUAAAAACAUAAAAAUUUAUUUCCAAUUAAGAAUACCAAAAUAUCUUGAGGCCACAUAUGCAAUUAAUCAAAAGCAUAUAAUAAAAACAAGGGAAUAAAAAAAAUAAAAACUUUUCUCAUAGCCUUUAGGGAUCUUGUUGCAUAUUUGAUAAUUAAAAUUUGGAUAAAAUCCAAAUUACCAAAAAUAGUCCUACAACCAAAAAUAAGGUUACUGAAAAUAGAAAACCCAAAAGGCCCAAUUGCCACCAAAAUGAGCCCAAAAGGAGAGGAAUCAAAUUUAGUCUGAAAAACCAAAAAGAAUUGGACUCGUAUGCAAUCCUGUAACAACAUGCUCUUUGUGCAACAUUGCUUCAAUGGACUAUAUCUCCCUUGUUUCAACUCCAAAUUGCAAUUUGCUUGAACCAUUGGAUUCGUGACCUCCUAAGAUUCAAAUUCAUAUGUGGCCUGCCCCAAGAAACUACUAGGAGAUAGUUGUGAUUUUGAGUUUAAGUUAACGUCAUUGUGUUGCCAUGGAUCUCAAACCAAGAACUUCCAAGAAAGCUUCUUUUUUCUUUAGCUACCAUAGAAUCUCAAAAGGAACUUUCAAGAUUCCUUCUUUUCUCUUGGGUCACAUAAUCAGGAAUGGAUAUAAAAAAGGCUACUAGGCUCCUUUCUUUCUUAUCACAUCCAACCCUUAUCGAUAGCCCCCACUAGGACAUUCAAGUAAGUCGGGUUUUGAUCUGAUUCCAAAAUGAGGCAGUGUUACCAAUGACUCGAUACCCCGCUGCUACUGAAUGAAGUUCGUCCUUCUCUCAUUUCCCUAUAAUAAGAUGUUGACCUCCGUAGAUAAAUGCCCCAUAUAACCUCUCAUCUCCGGGGUUGGGUUGAAAGAACAAUCAAACUGGGUUAAGAGAAGUUUAUGAAUCGAGUGAAAAUGAAAAAUAAAAAUCGUAAAUAAAAAUGGGCCAAGUGUGUGAUGCAAAAACUGAAAAUUUUACAACAAUUAAAAAAAAUAAAAAAUCCUAUGCUCUUUUAAUGGAGUUUGCAACCCAUCUAUUGAAAAGAAAAGAUUUUUACAAUAAAAUAAAAAUCUUAUACCCCUUAUGGGGUGUACAACCCAAUCUAGAGAAUCAAAAGGCAUAAAUCAUAUCCAUUUAUAUUCCUUCAAAUGAAUAAAUAAUAAUCCAUCACAAUUAUAAUCAUAAUCAUCGUAUUGACAUUCAUUCAAUUGAACAAAUAAAUGUAUCCCAUUCAUUCAUCUAUUUAGACCAUGGGAUGAAUAAAACAACCCUGUAAAAUAUAGUGAACACACCUUAGAACAGAUCUAACAUGCUAAAACCUACCCUAGGGUUCUGAUACUAGUUGUUGGGAACCUCAAAUUACUCUAUUCCCAUGCCCUAGAUCACGUAGGGUGCGUGCAAAUAUAUCAUAGGCUCUUUAAAUCUAUCACAACAAAUAAAUUGGUAUUAAAAAACAAUAAGGAUACCAUAGAAAAACAUAAAUAUAGAGAAUAAAGCCACAUACCCUUGAUUUGGUUGUUCUCGGAUCAAUUCUAAUCGAUGUAGAUAGCUCCAAAGUCAUAAUGUAUCUUGUAAACAUUAUGAUCUUCUACCCGACAACUCUUCCUUGUGUCUAGGCAUUAAGAUGGUGGAGAUAUCAAGGGUAGAGUCUAGGGUUCUCUUUCUAAACUAAAGGGGAGAAUGACAAGACAUAAAAACCAUAACUCCUAAAGGGGUAUUUAUAGGCUUCCUACUAGGCUUAAGUGACUUAAGCCCACCAUGGGCUUGGGUCACUUAAUCUAGCCCAAAAAAUGUUGCUAAUUGAUUAAUUAACCAUACAAGACCCUAAUUUAUUAAUUAGCUUAGUCCAAAGAUACCACUCACUUAUCCCUAUGCAACCUUGUGUAAUAAAUAAAAUGCUCUUAUGCAUAAAAGUGAACAAAAACUCAUCUAACCUUCAUAAACUGUGCCAUCAAGGAAUAUGAGCUCAGAGUGGGGAUUAUUAGAACCCAUGUGAGUAUUAGCUCCUUCAAAAUCAAAUUCUGAAAUUGAUUCAAUAUCCCACUAUAGAAAGUUAAUUGCACUCUAGUACCCUAUGUAUAUUACAACGAGACACCAAGUGCUCAGGUUCGUGAUCUACUAUCUACUGUAUGCAGACUCCCCAUGAACUAGCGUCUGUAAUCUAACAAGAUAGUAUUAUUACCUCUCAAAUUCUUGAGUUAUAGAUUCCACUUAUUAUGUGAUCAAAUAACAUACUCUAAUUCCAAGGAGCACAUGUCAAAUCCUACUAAAGGAAUUACUGUGGUCACAGAUUUCAUGAUCACAUGUCCUUUGAAUCACCCAAUGAGACACAUUGCCUCAAUCUCAUAAGAUAUCGUGGUGCUUUUAUUGAGAAUACUUGUUGCCACUAGCCUUCAUCAAUAGUUACCCAAUCCAUAGAGAUAUAUGACCACUUUAGGGCCUCACCUAUAGAUCAAAACCCCUUGUUGAUUUUAGAAUAGGCUCAAAAUCCUCUCAAGGUUGAGAGUCCAUGUAGCAUAGUAGCUUGAUGAAUCAUGACAAUUGAUAGCCUUGCAUCAUGAUUCACCAUAUGUUUUAUCCAAUGUGCAUAUACUCACCAUGAGAAACACAUAUUGACGGCCAAGACAAGUUAUCCCUCUAAUUAGGAGGUGGCGUACUACAGUCUCUACGAGAUUGUCCAAAUCUAUGAACCAAUUAUAGACAACUUAUCUACUUAGAAGGAACCCAUGAAUUUUAUUUUCCGUGCAACUCCAAAUGUACUCAAGUCAUGUACAAUGUAAGAUUUAUGGAUUGAAUGCUCAAAUCAAUGUCAAUAUAACAUGAAUUGUUACAACAUGUCUUGUUUUUAGGGGUUCAAUCCUAACAAGUAUUACUUUCAUACACUCUUUCUCCUUAAGUAUCUUAAGACAUUGAUCUUGAGAAAAAAGAACUCUAUGUCUAAAGGGUAGAAAACCCUUUUUGGAAUCUUGCAUAGCAUAUGACUCAAGUGGGUUGAGAUAGUGUAAACUUCCUAUUCUUACAAUCUCUUAAGACCUUAAUCCAAGGAAUAAACUAUGUUUCUUUAGAUUUUUCAUCUGAAACUGAGUAGAAAACUAUAUCUUGGUUGAUGAUAAUAACCUUAUAUCAUUCCAAAUGAGUAAAAUAUCAUCAAAAUAUAGGAUCAUAAAGACCAUCAUGCUUCUUUACACAUUCCUAUACACACAACGUUCAUUUUUCAUUUUGAUGAAAGUCAAACGUUUUGAUGAAAGUCAAAAGUUUUGACCGCCUAAUCAAAAUGCUUAUACAGUGAGCAAGAUACUUGCUUUAAUCCAUAAAUGGAUUUCUGCAACUUGCACACCAAACACUUUUGGUAUUUUACUAUGAAACCAUAUAGUUGCAUCAUCUAAAUGGUCUUACUAAGAUAGUCAUUUAAGAAUGCUUUCUUGACAUCUAAUUUGUUUGUCUCAUAAUUGAGAUGUGUUGUAAUGAAUAGGAGUAUUCUUAUGGAUUUGAGAAUGGUGGCUAGUAAAAAAGUCUCUUUAUAGUCAAAACCAAAUUUUUUACUAUAAUUAAGUCUAACCUUUCCAUCUACUCCUUUCUUCCUCAAAUAGACCCACUUGCACCCUAUGGCUUUUAUGCCUUUAGGUGCUUCUACAAGCUUCCAAACUAUGUUAGAAUGCAUGGAUUCUAAUUUUGUAUCCAUAGCUCUUAGCCAAAAAGAUGCAUCAACAUCGCUCAUUGCUUCAUCAUAAUCUAUGAGAUAAAUCUCAUAUUCUUAUGAAAUUAUCUCAAAAGACUUAUCCUAAUACAUUAAUCGGUCAAGUUAUACAAAACCCCUACUAUGACGAGGCAUUAGUAUACUAAAAAUGUUAGAAGUGGUCGGUACUAUAUCCAUAGUAUUUUGUGCUAUUGUGGGAGUGUCAUCUAAUACUCUUCAAUCAAUAUUACUCCUAAACUUAUUACUUAUCAUAUAUUCUUCUUUAAGAAAUCUAGCAUUUGUACUCACAAAUACUUUUUAAUCAAUUUGAGUAUAAAAGUAAUGGCCUGUCUACCCAAUUCUUCCCUGGAGGAGAUUCGCAAUAACACCAUGGAAUUGACCAAGGAUUUGGUCCAUUCAAAUCUCUCUUCAACUUGCUCAACCAUGUAAGGCUCUAAGUUUUCUUGGGAAACUUCUACCAGAAGAUUUUUUCCAAUCAAUUAAGACAUUUGUAGUGGUGUUUGGAAUUUGAAAAUAGAUGCAUCAUAGAGAGUGAAGAUAGUGAGAACUGAUUUUGUUUAUCUUGGAUCAACACACUUUAAUGUCCUAUUGUUUGCCUUCUAUAAGGAUCCUAUCUAUGAGACUGUUGAACAAGGACUUGCUUUAGUCCUCCAUGGUUAGGAAGAUCUAAAUAUUUAUCAUGUUAGGAGAAUUCAAUGCUAAAACUUUUCCAAAUGAUGGCUCCAUUUUUUUUGGGGUUCUAAAAUCAAGAAGAAAAAAAAUAAUUAUUGAUUUAUUUCACUUUUUGAUAUAUAAAGAGUGGACAUGCUCAUCAUUUUUAUCAAUGACAAUCUUUAAAUAGGCCGCCUGGAGAUCAUUGUGGUAGAUUCAGUAGGUAAUAUUGUCGUGUUAAUCUGUCAAUUUAUGUAUAGCUAUCAUUGCCUCUUAAGGCGUUGAUGUCAUUUAGCUGCAAAGCUUGAAACCUUGUUUAGCCAUAGAAUUUCCCAUCAUAACUAUGACCUAACGUGGAAUUUAUAUUUUAUGCAAUUUUUUUCUUAUUCAAAGAUGUUUAAUAAAUUAUUCUUAUUACCUAUUAAAAUAAGGGGAAAUUAUGUUUUGGGAGGCCCAUUUGAAGGUAAUAUGCAAAUCAAACCCAAAGAAACUGGAAUAUAGGCUUUGUCCGUUAAUGACCAAAUUAUUAUUCUUUUUGUGCACUAUAUAUUGUUUCGGUGAGCUAUUCCAAAAUUGCCCUUUAGUUUUCCCUGUCAGCAACCACCGCGGUCUCCAUGUCAACAGCCACCGCACAAUUUAAUAAACAUUGAAAUGUCAACCGAUCUCCAUGUCAGCAGGCUGGUGUGCAAUUUUAGAAACAUUAAAAUGUGAAUAAUGAAGUUAUGAAGUCUGAAACCCACAAAGCACCCCGACCCAACAAACAUUUGAAACUUGAAGUUAUCUUUGUCACUUUCUAUCGUUUUGCCCUAACCAGAUCUUAGAAAAUUUCCAUUUUCAUAGCUCUUUUGAUACAUCCGAUUUGUUUAUUGAGAUCUUGAGCAGGCGAUCAAUACCCAUAUUUUGAAAGCCGGCUUCAUUUGAUUCUGCCCUAACCCUAGUGUGUCUCUUUACUAGUUGACGACCCAAACCCGAUAGGUUUUUUCCGAAAACCUUCAAGGAAGCCAAAAUCGAGGCAGAUCUUCGUAUUUCUUCAUCAAAUGUUGAUUUUUUAAAGGUUUAUGGAAACCGAAGUGGAGUUUCCUCAAUCAAUAACAGGUGAGUUUUCCAUUUAAGCAUUCGUUUGGGUGUUGAGAACAUAUUAGGGUUGAAGGUGUUAACAUGAGCAUCAGAAAAGAAACUAGUUUAAUAAUAGAUUGAGCAUCAGAAAAAAGGCCGGCUUUGGUACUUUGUUUUAGCUGUGAUUUUUUUUUUUUACUUUUUGAUGGGUAUUGUGAGGUUUUCUAUGUCAAUUGUUGGUUGGUUUAAGCAUUUGGGUCUUUUAGAUUUUGAGCAUUAACUUUUGGGUUGUCCACUGAUUAGGUUUUUAUCUCAUUUCAAAAUUGAAUUUGAGGUGUUUUUACUGUUUUGAGUAUCAAUUAUACUGGUAGGAGGUGAGCAAAAAAUCAUUAUAAAGUAAAGUUUUUGUAUACUGUGAUGUGGAUUUUUUUUUCGGGGUCGUGCGUUGGCUGGUUAAGCAUUUAGGUCUUUCAAAUUUUGAGCAUUGAUUGUUGAGGUGUCCAACAACUUGGCUUUUAUAUCGUUCCAUAAGUGAAUUUUGAGGUAUUUUGCCAUUUCAUGAUAUUGAUCAUCCUUGUAGUAACUGAGUAGAAAAUGAAUAUAAAUUAAAGGUUUUAUGUGGUGUGUUGUUGAUUUCAUUAUUGGGUAUUGAUUUUUAUUUGGUUUAAGAAUAUGGGUUUUCAUAUUUUGAGCAUUGAAAGUUUUGUUGUCCAAUGGCUUUGCUUCCACCCUAUUUUAGUAGUGAAAUUUGAUUUUUUUUUUGCUUCUUUUAGUGUUGAUUAUGAUGGUGGUAGGUGAGCAAGAAAUAAGUCAUUGAGUAUAAAUCAAAGGUUCUCUCUAAUGUAUUAUUGAUUUAUUUUUUUGGUGUUGAUUGCUGGCUGAUUUAUCAUUUGGGGAUUCCAUAUUUUGAGUACUGAUUGUUGGGUUGUCCAACGAUCUGGAUUUAAUCUGGUGUUAGAAGUGAAUUUUGAGGUGUCUCAUUUUAGUAUUGAUUAUACUGUUGUUCAAUGAGCAAGAAACGAGUAUAAAUUAAUAUACUGAAAAAAUCAUAUUAGUUUAAGUGCUUGUGUAAUACAUGCAUAAUAAAUCUAAAUCUAGAAGAUGAAAUCUUGAAUUAGAAUUCCCAGGAUGGAUGAGCUAACAUGUUAUAUCUUGAUAUCUAGACCUACAAUGAGAGAAGGAAUGCAAUAUUUUAUCGAAAAAUUAAAUCCAUUAUAGAAUAGGUUUAUGGAUCUUAAUUAAAUAUGGAUGAUCAAAACAAACUAUUUUACAAAAAUCAGUGAUGAUCAAACCUCACUUUAUUUUCCCAAUGCAACAAAACCAAGCAAAGUUGUGAAUUCAUAAUUUCGGUUUUCCAUAAAUAAAAUAGGAAUCAACGAAUGGUAUCAUUUCAAGUCAUAUAAUUACUGGUAGACCUACAUUGUGAAAGGUCUGCUUGCAUUGUAAAGAAGCCUAGAUUGAAAAAAAAAUUUAUAAAUAAAAAAGUAUACAUACUCACACCUAGAUUUUUAAUUUCAAGUUUUAUUUGUAAUGUGCUAUUUAGGGUUUUGUUUAUUUAUUUCAUUUGUUUUAAAGCUUCAAUUUGCAUAAUGUCUUCUCUUUAUGAAUUGUGAUUAGGUAAAGUAUUUGAUAACUCUUGUUGAAAUUUGAGUUUUAUAUUUCUUUAAUGUUCCAUGUGAGAGUUUGAGCAUCAUGCCACUUAAAAUUUUUUGAAGUGAUCAGCAUGAUUUUGUAAAGUAUAUUACUGUUUAUUUUACUUUUUCUCUCCUUAAUUGCUAAGGGACUAGCAAUAUGUCGGUUGGGGGGAGUGAUUACUACUCAAAAAGUGUUAUUUUGUACCUUGUAAUUAACUCUUUUAAACACUUUUGAGUAGUAGUUAUUACCUUUUAACUCAAUUAGCAUAUUAAGUACCUUUGCAAUCGUUUCUAAUCAAAUUGUGUAAGUUUUGGUGUUUUUGAUAGUAUUUUGAUCACCAAAGAAAUCCAAGAUUGAGGAGAAUUCUAUGGAAUCCAUGGCAAAGCAAUUGGAAGCUCAUUAACAUAAAGAAUCUAAGCUUUGAAGUUUUAUAGUCCUUUGCCAUAAGCAAAUCAUGAAUGCAAGGAGAGAAAGCAAAGAGAGAAAUCUAACAUGAAGAAUUCAAGAAGAUAGCAACUGUUGGACACUUUUGGAGCACUUCCUGGAGCCCAUUUGAUGCAUAAUAUAUGUCGUUUUGAAGCUCGGGAAGUCAGCAAUCCAACGCUUUAAACGGUACAUGAAUCGGAGUUGAAAUGAAGAAGUUAGAGCCAUUGGAAUCCGAUCACACCAAGCUGAAGGCCAAUUUCGCAGGCUGCGAAAUCAGCCUUUGGUUGCAAAAUCACAAGAGGAUGGCUGCGAAAUCAGCCUUUGGUUGUGAAAUGGUGACCUUCAGCUUGCGAAAUUUUGCAGCCAUCUUGCAUGCUUAGGAAAUCCUCCUGAGUGCUUCCAGAUAUUUGCGACCGACACUUUUAGAUUUUUUUCUUCAGAUAUUUGAUGUUUAAAUCCCCAUUUUCUCCUUGUAAUCCACCAAUCAUAGGAUUCCUUGGUUAUUAAGUAAGAACAAAGGGUGAAUAACCUUAUAUAUAUUGUUUGUAAUUUUCAUUACACAAAACAUCUCGGGAACUUGUUCUCAGAGACAUCUUUUAUAUAGUUUUGAAGGAAGUAAAAUACAGAGCUUUGCUCUGCCUUACCUACUCAAUUUGAUUGUAUUUUUCUUUCUAUCCAAACAAGCUCUAAGGAUAUUUCCUCAGAGAAUGAGUGGCUAGACUUUUUGUCUCUUGGAGCUAAGGUAGCUGGGUAAGGUCUCGAGUGCAAGAAUUGGUAGUUUUGUUGUUUCAGCUAUUAAGGAAGAGAAAGUGUGACCCGUUAAUGGUUUCUAUGUUUUUAGUUAACUUAAAACGCCUUUAAUUCACCUAGGCCAACACUUGGUAAGGCAAGUGAUCUCCGUCCAUUGAGAUGCACUAGUUUACCUCUUGCGAGCCUUUGGGAGGUGACUCGAAGGUAGGAUUUUCUAGAAUUGCCAACACUUGGUAAGCUUUUGGACUCUAAGGAGACAUCCAUUAGUUAUCUCUUACGAGCUUGAGAAGGGAAGUCCAAGGUUAAUGAGCACUUUGAAUGGUAAAUGCUAGGUGAGAGGCACGAGCCAUUGCAAGUUGCAUCAGUGAGAGAGAUUUAGUGUUUGAAUCCAAUAACGGGAAGCAUCUGUACAACACCGAUUAGAGAAAUAACUAUAUGUUAAUUCUCUAAUGCGAGGAAAAGAUUCAAGUGACCGGAGCUUUGUUUUUGCAUGAGGAGUCUGACCCCAGUGAACCUAAAACUCCAAGGAACGCUUUUCUUCAUAAGUAAUUCCCAUUACUUUCUUUUUAGUUAGCUUAAAAUCUAUCAUUUUUCAAUCAAAGUUUAUGUUUUCUUUUGAAGCUAACCUUGAAAUGAAAAAAACACCAAUUCAACUUUGAAUUGGUAUCAGUUGUAAGUUGAAAACCCUUCCCAGUGAACGAUCCUAGAGCCACUAUGCUAUAUUAGCUAAGGCUAUCCUAGUGCAUGGUGAUAUAGGUUAUAAAUUUUGUUGAUUACUCCUGUUUGAGGACCAAACUCAAGGUACACCAGCUAGGCACGCAAUCAAUGUCAAAAUUGUUGUGAUUCAUGAUGACAGAGAUGUGUUUUUAGUUUAUUAGUACAUUACUUCGCAGGUACUUAGGUAAUUCAAACCUCUCUAGUCAUCUGGUACUUGAACUUGGGCAGCUAGAGUAUCUACAAUAUCUGUAUUUUUUCUCUUUGAUUGUUUAAUGUAGAAAGAUUGUGAUUCCUUAGUUUUUUAUUCUAUGGUUUGUCUUGCAAUAAUCUAUGGUAUGUUGAGAGAGUCAUUCGAGUUCUUUGAGUGUGGGAUGAUUGGAUAUUUCUUUAUGAACUAAGAUAUGGAAAAUCACCCUUUAAGAGUUUAGGAAUGAUGAUCUAUUAUGGAGCCUUAGGAUCCCUACAAAAUCUACUUUAAAUUUCCAGGAAAAAAAAUGUGAUUAGGGGGCUAUUAAUUCAAGAGCCCCCCAAUAGAUUAGGAUCUAAGGAACUCACACAGAGAUCUAGCAACACCCAUUCUUCUGGGUCUGAAAUGUGUUACGAUGUGUUGUGCAAUGCCACAAGAGUUUCCCAUCUAUGCGAUAUUAGAAAUAGAACUUGAGUUAUGGUUUCCUAACACCAGUGUAACUCUAAUUGUUGCUCCCAAAAAGGAGGCUACUAGUAUAACAUGCAGGAGAGUAUAUACAAAGUUUGAGUAUUUUUACCUCAAACAUCUCUACCAUGGGAAAGGUUUGGCUUUCUUUUCUUAGUUGAGUCUCAUUCUUAUUGUAAUGUUUAUUAUAAUGAAAUGAUGAAAAGAUGACAAAUAUUGUUGGGGUAAAUUGUUCAGAAAAGUGGCAGCAUGUUAUUUAAAUAUAUGAAUAUGGAACUGGAAACUCAGACUCCAAACAGGAAACAAAGGAAGGGAUAACAUUCUCUUAACAUUUAUGAUGGGCCCAUCACAUAGGGUUCCUUCUCAGUCACCCCAUUGAAAUCUAUCCAACAUAAGACACACCCUUAAUAAAAAACAAAAACAAUAAUAAAUGAAAAAAGAAAAUAAGGACAACAUAGUUUACCCUUGAACAAUGGAAUCUUUGAGAGCAUUUAGUAAGUUCUUAUAAACUUCACUAGAGAGAGUAUCAUCUAACAAAAUUGCUUUCAAUUUCUUAACUUCAAUGGAUAGGGUCAUUCAUUAUUAACUCGAUGAACGAAUUUGUUGCAUUAAACAAAUUGAUUUCAAAAAACCUAUAAUCUGGGAUGUAUUGAAAUCUUUAUCAGGAUAUGAUAGACUUUUGACUUUCGAAUGAAGGUCUAGGUAUAAACAAAUUAGGCCAAGGUUUACACCCAUAAAGUUAAUAUAGUAAGUUACGUACAUGGGAGUGAGAGUGAUAGAGUAAGUGUAAAAUAAGGAUGUCCCUCUUUGUUAUGUGGGAUCAUUUAAUUAUUAAUGUCUUCUCGAUGGUAAAAAGUAUAGUUCGAUAACGGUUGUAGGAUGUAAUUAUUUUUUUAAGAUGAUGAAGAAUGAAAGUGGAAAGAAACAUAGAAAAUGGUUUGGAGAUGAGGACAUAGGAAUGGUGGAUAGGAAGUAAGCCACCAUUCUUAUUCCUUAAGCAACUUCAUGGCAUUAGAUUAUAGAUACAAGGAUAUAUUAGGGAUUUGAUUAUAGAAAGGGGGCCUUCAUUCCCUUCUUCCACCUUUCCUCUUUGUCUUUUGUUUUGCUAAAAAAAAUUCUUACACGUUAGCUAAGCAUCACAUGCCCCGAGGAUGACCCAUUUCUGACCUCUCUCUCUAGUCCUUCUUUUUCUCUUUCCAACAUCAUUAUAUUCAUACAUAAUCAUAAUCCCUAUUUACUUUUGUUGUCGUUUUAUUUGUAACAAGUUUCUAUUUAAUUAAGGAAAUGGAAGAGGACAUGUUCUGCUACAUUCAUGAAGGCGGUCAACUAGUUAAAUGUGCUGGUGGGUCUGUAGAAUAUCAAGGUGGUCGAACCGAAUCCAUGGUUGUUAGUUGGAAUAUUUCACAUAGUGAUUUCAUUUCAAAACUGUGUGAUGAGCUGCACUUUGACUGAAGUUCUAUCAAAUUGGAAUUCACGGUCAAGUUUGACCCAUCAUGUCUACUACCGUUGCAUGAUGACGUAGUCAUACUUAAGAUGUUCAGAUUCAACGAAAUGUUUUAUCGAGUCUAUGUCUCAUCAUCAAGUGAAGUUAUUGCAGCCUAUAUAGCACUGACUAGGUACUUAUAGCCUUACCAACAUCACAUACACUUUGUCCAUUAACUUUUGAAAUAUAUGUAGAUGGAUGAAUAAUUUUUAUUUGUAGUGCCCCUACUCCUAUUGUUGGUUCAAAUUCGGCACAUGUACUUUCCUCCGAUGGUGAUCCGCCAAUGGAUAUCUGUAAUGACUCUCUUACAAUUGAGUCAUAUAGGUUUUCCCAAAGAUAUGCUGAAUUAAAUAUACUCGAACGUGAUUCAAGGCGGUUUGAAAAUUCCAUUAUGGGUAGUGGACAUACCUUCCCCAAUGUUACCGAGUUCCAUGAUGACGUGUAUUUGAUGUCAAUUGCUGGUAGAUUCCGUUAUUGCUUCAAGAGAAAUAGUACAAAACACAUGGCAGUUGUUUGCACAGUUAAUGAAUGUCCUUGGAAAGUCACUGCUCGUGCAGUUGGUGAAUCGAACAUCGUUUAGGUUCACACUUUUCAAAACCUCCACAAUCAUAGUUUGGAAGAUGUUGCCACAUGCCAACCUUUAGUGAGAUCCAAUCGUGCCUCAUUGCUUAUUGAUGAUGUCAUACAGUCCACUCCCCAUUACCAACCCUGCCAAAUUUGUAAGGACUUUCAAAGGCAACAUAGGAUGCAAUUGACGUAUCUUCAAGCAUGGAAUAUUAAGGAGAAGGCAAAUGAGCGCAUUUAUGGAGAACCCAAAUAUUAUUACAAAUUGUUGCCUUGGAUGUAUGAGAAAAUGGUUGCAACAAAUCUAGGAAGCAUUAUUGAGUUGAGACAUUUAAGUGAUGGGCAUUUUGAGUAACUCUUUAUUGCUCAUUCGGUAUCUAUCCAAGGGUUUGAAAUGGGGUGUCGGCCAAUCAUUGCUAUUGACUCCGCCCAUAUGAGUGGGCCAUAUAGGGGUGCAUUAUUUUCAGCCACUGCAUAUGAUGCAAAUGACUCCAUAUUCCCCUUAGCCUUUGGCGUGAUGAGCUCAGAAAAUUAUGGCAAUUACUCUUGGUUUUUGCAAAACUUGAAAAAGGUUGUUGGAGAUAAGGAAGUCGUUAUUAUCUCGGAUAGACAUCAUGUUCUCCUUCAUCGUGUUCCUGAAGUGUUUGGGCUUGAAAACCACGCCUACUGUUACCGUCACUUGAAGGAAAAUUUCAACUCUUUUUUGAGCAAACGUAACACAAGAGGGAACAAAGGUAAAGAAAAUGCACUCCAAUUCCUUGAUAGUAUUGUCUAUGCAAGGUUAGAGUACGAUUACAAUGUUUUCGAGGUUGAACUACGGAAAUACAAUGACACUUUAGCCACAUGGGUUGAAGAAAAUGCACCCAAACAUUGGGCUAUGUCAAAAUUCCCAAAACAAAUAUGGGAUAAAAUGACCACAAACCUUGCCAAGUUGUUUAAUGCUUGGUUAAGGAAUGAAAGACAUCACUCCAUUUGUGUCUUUCUAAUGGAGCAUAAAGGUAGUACCUAAGGUACAUUAAGGUAGUACCUAAGGUACAGUCCCAAAAAACCAAAGGUGGACCACUUGACCACAUAAGAGAACCACAUAAUGGCAUGGUCUAAGGGUNNNNNNNNNNNNNNNNNNNNNNNNNNNNNNNNNNNNNNNNNNNNNNNNNNNNNNNNNNNNNNNNNNNNNNNNNNNNNNNNNNNNNNNNNNNNNNNNNNNNGGUAGACCCCAACUUUAGCUAAGGUAGUACCUAAGGUCCCUAAAGGUAGUACCUAAAGUACAUUAAGGUAGUACCUAAGGGCUCUUAAGGUAGUACCUAAGGUACAGUCCCAAAAAACCAAAUGUGGACCUCUUAACCACAUAAGAGAACCACAUAAUGGCAUGGUCUAAGGGUCACAAAAGAAGGCCUCGUUUGGGAAAGUUAGACCCCAGUUUUAGCUAAGAUAGUUCCUAAGGUACAAUCCCUAAAAACCAAAGGUGGACCACUUGACCACACAAGAGAACCACAUAAUGACAUGGUCUAAGGGUCAUAAAAGAAGGCCCGAGGCUUGGGAAAAGUAAACCCCAACUUUACCUAAGGUAGUACCUAAGGUCCCUUAAGGUAGUACCUAAGAUACAAUCCCAAAAAACCAAAGGUGGACCACUUGACUACACAAAAGAACCACAUAAUGGCAUGGUCUAAGGGUCACAAAGGAAGACCCAAGGCUUGGGAAUGAUAGACCCCAACUUUAGCUAAGGCAGUACCUAAAGGCUCUUAAGGUAGUACCUAAGGUUUAAUUCCAAAAUACCAAAGGUGAACCACUUGACCACACUAGAGAAUCACAUAAUGGCAUGGUCUAAGGGUCACAAAGGAAGACUUGAAGCUGGGGAAAGGUAGAUCCCAAUUUUUGCUAAGGUAAUACCUAAGGUAUAUUAAGGUAGUACCUAAGGGCUCUUAAAGUAGUACCUAAGGUACAGUCCAAAAAAUCAAAGGUGAACCACUUGACCACAUAAGAGAACCACAUAAUGGCAUGGUCUAAUGGUCACAAAGGAAGGCCCGAGGCUUCGAAAAGGUAGACCCCAACUUUUGCUAAGGUAAUACUUGAGGUACAUUAAGGUAGUAUCUAAGAGCUCUUAAGGUAGUACCUAAGGUACAUUCUUAAAUAACCAAAGGUGAACCACUUGACCACAUAAGAGAAUCACAUAAUCGCAUGGUCUUAAGGUCAUAAAUGAAGGUCCGAGACUUGGGAAUGGUAGACCCCAAGUUUAGCUAAGGUAGUACCUAAGGUCCCUUAAGGUAGUACCUAAGGUACAUUAAGGUAGUACCUAAGGGCUCUUAAGGUAGCACCUAAGGUACAGUCCGCAAAAUAACAAUGCCACUUACAACCUUUUGCUCUUGUUAGAGCUCGCUAAGUCCACUUACAAACUUUUCCAUGCUAAGGCCACUUACUCUUUGGCUUUGAUUUCCAUAUUACCUUCAAAUGGGCGACUCCAAACACAACUUUCCCAUUUUUUUUAAGCCAUAGAAAUUUGCAUGUUAAAACCAUAAUUUUUCUCCCACGUUUUAAAAUUCCCAUUUGCGAGACCUUUUUUUUUUUCGUUUUGACUCUUACCACAUUAUAAAUGCAACACACAAAUUACUUGCAAGACUACUUAAAAAAUAACUUAUGCUUUUAGCUGGACCUAGUAUUUUUUUUAAAUUUUCUUUUUAUUCUUUAUGCAAUAUAAAAAUUUUAAGUUACACUGGAAACCAACUGAAUCCACAAAUACAAGGAACUCUUUCACUCUUCAGUCAUAAAGUAUUCACAAAUCAAAAUACCAACUCCUAUUGAAAACAACAAGCUCUUUCAAUAUGCUAUACCACACACAACAACUGGAUACCAGAUUUCUAUGCAUUUGAAAAGGUUGAUUAAAUCUCUUAACUCUUCCACAUAACUCCUUUAAACAAUAUGAGGAGCUUACCUGCCAUACUGCCAUAUCUAAACCUUGAAUUUAUGAUAAAUAUCCACAAGUUUUCUUAGAUGUAUCAACCUAGGAUCAACUAAUCAAAAUAUUCACUCAUAUAUUAUAUAUAAGAGGCAAAAAACAGAACAUGACUUCUAAACAAAAUUAGCACCAAGUCCAUGAUUUCCUGAUAGCAACCCAUUCUAGAAUGAGUUAUUCCCUCACAUGAUUUCUGGUACAGAUGUUCUCAAAGAAUUCAUACUUAACCAUCCUAGAAAACUAUUCCCAAUAAAAAUAAAAAUAAAUCCCUAAUAUGUUCCUGUACAAUUUGCAGUUCACACAAAGCAAAAACCACUGUCUUGUACGAAACCACAAAUUGCAACACAAUUAAUAAAAGAAAAAAGAAACAAAUAGAAAAACCCCACAAGAAUGCAGUAAAACUAUCAUUCAGCAAAUUCUGAAAUAAAAAAGAAACAAAUAGAAAACCCCACAAAAAUGCAGUAAAACUAUCAUUCGGCAGUUUUGGAAAUAAAAAAGAAACAAAUAGAAAAACCCCACAAGAAUGCUGAAAAACUAUCAUUCAGCAAUUUUGGAAAUAUUGUAAACCAACACCAUUAUCAUUCAAGCUUCUGAAGUAACCCAUGAUGAGAGCAAGAAGAUCAUAGAACACUUCGAAAAUAAUCCAUACCCACUGAAGAAAAACAUGAUUCACGGAGACCCACAUACCUCAUGCCCCUCAUCAAUGAAAAGUCUGUAAGCCAUGUUCGGGUGUUUUCUUUGAUUGGGUUUCAGAUUUCAUAACUUUCCGGUUCACAUUUGAGUGUUUAUUAAAUGGGCAAUUUUGGAUAUCGGUGGCUACUGACAUGGAGACCGUGGUGGCUGCUGAUAGGGAAAACUAAAGGGCAAUUUUGAAAUAGCUCACCGAAAUAGUAUAUAGUGCACAAAAAGAAUAAUAGUUUGGUCAUUGACGGACAAAGCCCAUAUUCCAGUUUCUUUGGGUUUGAUUUGCAUAUUACAUUCAAAUGGGCCUUCCGAAACACAACUUUCCCUUAAAAUAAUCUAAAUAAUAUUUCUCUUGUGAAAGCCCAAGCAUUCUUAUUGUUCUUCCUCUUUCUCCUCUUUAUCAGGCAUUUUAUUAGCAAUUGAUUAUGCAUCUGAAUUUUUUCAUCAACUCCUAGGAGUUCAUUGACGGUCAGCGCUUGGUAACACAUGCCUAUAUGUCUCACAUGUUUGGGUUGAGAGCAAAGCACUUAGGUCUUCACAAAGCAAUUUGUGUUCUGUUGGGAUGGAACAACAUUGUGCCCCCAGACACAAUAACAUGGGUUCCUCAUGUCUUACUUGGUGAUGAAGCUUUGAAUCAGAAAGAGGACCUCAUUCUCUGGCCACCACUUGUCAUCAUCCAUAAUAUUUCUAUUUGGAACAGUGAUCCAAAAGAAUGGAAGCUUGUAACCACUGAAGCGCUUGGGGCUUUUCUCAGAGGUUUGUGACUAACUUUUGGUUAAAUAAUCAUGUUGAGUUGGUUUACAACUGAAUUUAAUUGGAGGGAAUGCAAUGCAUAUAAAAAAUAAGAAUGCAAUUUAACCUAUUCUUGACGAGCAACACAGGAUGAGAAAUAAGAGAUUAUCAUUAUUGUCAGAUAAUAAGUCUGACCAAAAAGACAAGCUCAUUAUCAACCAACCCAACUUAAACUCGACCCUAAUAAACUUGUUGAACAAACACGUUGAAUCCUGCCCCAUUUGAUGAGAAAACAUGGCUAACCUUAUGAUGUAAUUCUUAUUUUGCUACUUGAAAAUUAUCAGUUUUAAAAAACUUAGAAGACUAAUGCCCUUAUACUUUCAUGGGAGUGAACCUCUCAGUAUCCUGAGCAAAAGCCUUUUCUUUUUUUUUCUUUUUUCCUUCUGAUCGUUGACUACUUGUUUUUGUGAAGAUUCUUCAAAAUGCCCUGGUUGCUUCCUUCAAGUCUUCACACCAUUAGAAAUCUGUAGUGCCCUUGCUGUGAUUUGACUAUUUCAUUCUUAUUCCCAAGUCUCAAUAUUUUCCUUUCCUUCUUUUAAAUCAACCCAAGAAUUUUACAAAUUUGUCUUAUUUUUGUAGUAGUUUCUAUAUUGGUUUUGAUUUGGAAGUGAGGAUGACUUCACUGAAAAUGUACAAAUUAAGAAAAAUUACAAAUGAUAAGCUCUUGAAAUUUACAAAAUUCAAGAUAAAUACAAGGCAGCCACUUCUCAUUCCGUCAUCUGUAAAUCACACAUACUUGUGUAUGCAAAUGAAGAAGAAACAAUCAUUUUCUGAAACUUUCCUUUACCUCCUUUGGAAGUCAAGGAACUUAAUGCCAUAGGCAAAGACAAAUAAGAAGAGGAGGACCCAACCAAUAUGAGCCAAGGCAACCGCUCCCAGGAAAUCAUAUUCAAAGCCUAAAGCCUCCUUAAGAUACUGCUUCACUGACAUGUCAUCUGCUCCGGGUACCUGAACUGGAUCCUCCUUGUCGCCCACCUGAGAUGUCACUAGUCCGUAGAUGGUCCAAGCAACAGGGGAAGCCCAGUAGUACCACCUCCACCAUAUUGGUAUUUGCUGCAGAUGUACAGUUUGUUAGAAUUCAGUAUUCUUCUACAAAAACAUACUCAAAUUCUUCGUAGGCAUACGCACCAUCCUAUGGAUGAGAAAGCCAGAGAAGAGAUUCCAAAAGCUUAGGAAGAAGGACAUAACAAUGGCAGCAAUUUGAUGGCUGGGAGUGAGUGCUACAAUCAUCAUUCCAUACAAUGUGAAGUAAAUAAAGCACAUGAAUAGGUAGUAGUAGAACCAUAAGAACUUGUCCACUCGCCAGUAGAAUCCCAUCAUAGAGUAGAGGAGAAAACUGUAAAGACAAGUUUGGAUGGCAACGUAAAUUGCCUCUAUGGCCACCUGCAGGGCAUCCGAAUACAAGAUUAGUUUAAAGUUAAGCUCUACUAGAAAUGUGUAUCUGUUUCACAUUUGUUUUGUCAAAAGGCAACCUGGGCAAAUGCGUAAGACAAUGCUGAAUACAUCCCAGCUGCCCUUUCACGGUAGAAGACUGUUCUCUCAAUUGCCACAACAGGCUGCACUGCGGCAGUGUUGGUGGUUCCAAGGAAGAAGACAGCUGAAAACAUAGCUCCCAGCAGAUUUAUUAGGUCUUGUUCUUUGUCUCUGCAUACAGUAGUUGGGGUGUUGGUUCACAUUUUUUCUUAAUUAUUAAUGGAGAAACACCAAAAUAAUAAAUUUGCAAUACUUACGUCUGCUUUCCUUUGUUCCUGAAAAUUGCUCCAAAUAGAACACCAAUAAUUAUGGUCAAGAAGAGCCGGAUAGCAUUAUAGGGAGGAUUCCUCCAAUAAGACCAGUGCUGUUUCCAGAAGCAAGCCUUGCAUUGGGUAAUAAAGCUUUGAGAGUAUUUGGUGGGGAAAUAAAGGUUUUUGGAUCCUGGUGAUGGUGUGCUGAUCACUUUGAUGAGUUCCUGAUUCCUCCUACAACAAAAGGUGGAGUGUAAUAAGUCAUCGGAAAAAGAAUUGAGACAGAAAGAUGAAGUUCCAAGGAAUCAUAAUCCACUUACUGAUAGAGUUCAGAUUUAGCAUAAAUUUCCGCAAAAUCCACACCAAGUUGAGCCUCAACUGCAGCAGAGCUGACCUCCAGCAUCCAUGUAGCAGGAUUUUGACCAUCUCUGACUUUAGGAACCCCCGGGACAGCCUGCAGCAAGUUAUAGAUAUGAUCAUGACACACUCCUUAUAAGUAUAACAACGGAGAUGGAGCAAGUUCACGGAAGAUGAAUAAUGCUCACUUCAAAGUACUCUACAAGCUUGUGAGAAUUGCGACCAAGAGGUCCAGCAUAAAUGAUUUGUCCUCCUCUCUUCAUCAGCAAUAGCUGCAGGCAAAAAUGAUGUUGGAUUGAAGAAAGGAAUGGUGACUCCAUGAUAAUCAUAUCAAUAAGAAGUAUUAGAUACAAAACCAUGAAACUAAGAAAUACCUCAUCGAAAGCUUCAAAGAUGUCUAUGCUUGGCUGGUGAAUGGUGCAGACAACAGUCCGCCCUGUAUCCACUAUGUUUCUAACAGUACGCAUAACAAUUCUAGCUGCUCUAGCAUCAAGGCCUGUCGUUGGCUCAUCCAUGAAGAUGAUGGAGGGGUUAGCAACCAAUUCUACACCAACUGUCAGCCUCUUCCUCUGUUCUGUUGAAAGCCCAUCUAUUCCCGGAAGGCCAACCAAAGCAUUCCUCAGGGGGUGAAGCUCAACCAAAUCCAUUACUUCCUCAACAAACAUCUGUAGCACGGAAGGAACAAAAGAAAAGAACUGAUGAAUAUAGCUUGUAGUAGGGUGAAACUAAAUGAAAAAUCAUUCAUUUGAAAAAGGACAUGCCUGCCUUGUUUCCUUCUUGACAUCUGGAGCAAGGCGCAGCCAGGCUGAGUAAACAAGAGAUUCAUAAACAGUUACAUGUGGAGAAUGUAUAUCAUUCUGUGCACAGUAACCACUAACACGAGCGAAAGUUGCUUGGUCUUGGGGGUAACCAGAAAUGCUGAUUCUUCCUUCAAUGUACCCACCAGUUUUCCUUCCUGCUAACACAUCCAUCAAAGUGGUCUUUCCAGCACUACUAACACCAACUAAUGCCGUUAGAAUACCUGGCCUGAAAGCACCGCUAGCAUCCCACAGCAGUUGGAGACGAUCUACUUCAAUUCCUUGGCUCUUCAUUUCCUGUGAUUGAAUCCAGAAAAAAGUUUCAAAUCUCUAGACCAAGAUCAUAUCCUAACAUAUAUAUUAGUCUCACUUGUGUGUCUAAAUACUCAAAACAAGUUACUUACGGCAGGCAUAUCAACAUAGUAAUUCACAUGCUCAAAUGCAAGUGAUAAGGGCUGGAAGGGCAACACCAUUUCCCUUUUAGUAGGCUCAUGAUUUGCAUCUUUGACAACUGAUUUGGUGUUUUCUCCAGUGUUCCUUACUUCCAUAUCAAUACCUGUUACCAUAGACCUAAUAUCAGCUACCAGAUAAAGAAAAUCUGAUAUUUAUGUUAUUUGUAAUAUCUGGUAUCACUAGCCUCUUCAAGAAGUGAUUAACAAAAAUUUUGUGAGGGUCAUGUAAAAAGCUGGUGUAUCCUAGAGAAGGAGAACCAAUAGCAAGAAGCAAGUUUUAUGCAAUAUAAUUUCUCAAGAGCAAGCUCAGAAAUUGUAGCAACAUAAUAGUUGAUGAAACAUUAUUAAUUGCAACAUCUUUUCCUCUCUGCAAAGGGAUAUUUGCAGCAUGUUUCAGAAGAAAUAGAUCUCAAAACUUAUCCUUUUUGUCCCAACUUUUUGAAAUCUAUCUUGACAUCCACCACUUUGUUAUGCUUGAGUUUUAAGCUAUCAUACUACUGGUUUUCGGCAUUGAUAAACCACUCAGUUUAUUGAAAAUGAACACCAUAAGGUGGCAAUGAGAGGGGAGUUGAUUCAAUUGAAAAACUAGAUAUUCAAUUGAAAAACUAGGCAUUGAUAACCUAAUGCUUGGUUAAUAAAAUAUAUAGAAACGCUAGAAGACAAACAAACAACAAAAAACCAGAGGAGACCAAAGUAGGAAAAAUCUUGAACCUUGAGGCAUUGGGGCAACAGAUGCUGAAUUUCUUUCAGCGGUGGUCAUUUUAUGCUCUUUGUUAGAGUAAAACUGCUUCUCACUCUUUUUUUCAUCAUCCUCAUCAAUAAUGACAGAGUUUGAGCCUUCCAGAGCUGCAUUUGAGUUUCAGAAAAUUGUCAAAACUAGAAUCUUAUUUAAAUAAUACCCAGUUCUGACUGAUGGAUGAUAAUUCCAUGACUAAAACCUUUGGAGGGAAGGAAAAAGGAAAAUGUAGGUUAGCAUAAGCAAUAACUUACGGUUCAAAUAUGUCAGAGCUGCAAUGAAACAGAUAUUGAAGAGCAGAGAAAACCCCGUGAGUGCACCAACACAAAUCCAAUACCAAUAUCCAUCCACAAACAUGCCUCUUUCCUUGAGAAGAGCUUUCCCAACUGUGGGUUCUGGAAUUCUUCGAUUGAUGUUGGGCUGUGCCAAAAACCGAGUAGUGUAUACAAAGACAGACCAAGUAAUGAAGGUAGAAAUGCCCAAGCUUAAAACAAAGUGAGAAACAAUCAUUCAAAAGCUACUAGGAAACCUUACCGCACUCCAUCUGUCAUCAAGAAAUUCAUUGAUGACAAGCGCAUUUUGUCCAUACGUCAUUGGAGAAGCAUAAUAUGCCCAUAUCAUCCAUGGUUCAAUAUCAUCUGAGGAAGAAGGAUAAACAAAUGGUUUAUUAGAUUAUCACUCAUAUGAUAUAAUCACAUGAAGAGUGCCCCUCUCCCUUUCCAUUUGAAAUAUGGCAUCAGUGUUGCAAAAACAAUCAGCUCGCAUAGCAAAAAGACACAAAAUACUGACCUUUGGAUACAAUGAAUCCACCCCGAACAAAAACCAGUAGUAAUGUAAAGGUAGCAAGGGUGUUGGCCACAAUCUGUGUUCUUCCAAGUGCUGCAAUGAAGCGGAAGAGAGACAAAGCCAUCUGAUGCACGAGAAAUAAUGCCACUAAUUGACGGAAAAACCUGAACAAUUUUCAAGUCUUGGGUUGUUACAGUUCCAUUUGUGAAUGCUAAAACACAAGUCAGGAAGAAUGGAGGUCCAUUCACAUACCUACUAGCAGAAGGGGCAAACCCAAUAGUGUAAUACGUGAGAAUGAUCCAUAUCCCUGACUCCAUGAGUGACAAGGGGAUCCUAAGGACCCAAAUUGGUAAUGCAAAAGCCCAUGCCGGGUAAAACAAUAAGUCCCUCUGCUUAAAAAACACUGGGAGCCUGAAAAUAGUCAAUGCAAGCUCUGCCAUUCCGUUAUACAUUACAUUUAUGAGACCAUAAAACAGAGCCCCAUUGAAUUUUACUCCAUCUUGCAGUUGGCCAUGCUUCAUUUCUGUUCUGAAGAACACUGUCAUGGCAAUUACUGACAUGAUUGUAAUCUGGGUUGUCUUGAAUAUGUAUAUAAAAGAGUUGCGCUUCAUCAAUAGCCACUCUCUGACAAAGCAUGCCUUGAAGAGUUCCCAGUUGGAGAUUCCAUACUUUUCUGUCACCAAUGCUGCAGGUUGGGUUCUGCUCUUAUUGUAAGGGAUUCCAAGGUCAUCUGAAAGCUUCUGGCCAAUGUGGAAAGAGUUGAAGUGUUGCACAAACUCGGGCACUGAGAUAUAUUUGUAAGGUUCAUUCUUUCUGAACCAGUAUUGUUCUUGGUCCUUUCUGGAAGUCACCUCGUGCAAGAAGUCCACAACUCCUUUUCUUUCCGGGCAUUUGAAGCCCAUGCUUUCAAAGAACUCAAGGAUGUUUUCACGGGGACCUUGGUACACAAUCUGACCCUCACAUAGUAAGAUAAUGGCAUCAAAAAGAUCAUAAGUUUCAGGUGCGGGUUGGAGAAGAGAGAUUAUCAUGGUUACUUCCAUGAUAUGAACCAUCUGCCUCAUAAACUUAACAAUCUGAAAAGUGGUGGAACUGUCCAGACCAGUUGAUAUUUCAUCCAUGAAAAGAGCCUUUGCUGGUCUAACCAACAUUUCUCCUGCAUUCAGUUUCAUCAGUCGUAUUAGGCUUUUGUCCAGUGUUAAAAAUCUUAAGAACAGGGACUCCUCAGAAAGCAGACAAUUCAUAAUUGAUCGGUAGCUCAAUUCAAAUUGAAGGCAAAUGCUUUACCACUAAGUUGGAAGAAACAAUUGAUAUAGGACAUAAUCAAUGGAAAUGGGGCACAUACCAGUAGUAACACGCUUCUUUUCUCCACCAGAAAUGCCCCUUCUCAUAUCGUCUCCCACCAUAAUGUCAGCGCAGAUAUCUAAUCCCAGCAUCUGUUACACAGACAAUGUUAAAGAGCGUAAAGCUUGGGAAUGUAACUAAUAGGUCAGGCACCAAAUGGAAACGGAGCUACAAACCUUGAGCACGUAAUCUGUAACCAAAUUAGUUUCUGUUGCUCUCAUGAACGCAUCUAUCUCAGGAUCUGGCUUAAUUCCAGCUUCUUUUUCUCGUCUUGACAAUUCUGCAAGUAGUUCAUAUCUGGUUCCAACCCCCAAACAUCGUCCUGAGAAGUCCAACGUUUCCCUAACUGUCAUCUCACCAUGGUGCAGAUCAUGCUGGCCAAUGUAAGCACAUGUUCUCUGAGGAACAAACUCUGAUGAUUCAUGACCACAGUAUGUGAUUCUUCCUUCCAUCUGUCCAUAAACACCGUACACAACAGAGCUACUAGUUCAGGAAUCGGGACUAUCACCAUCACUAAAUAAUUCAAAAUUCAGGAACAGUCUGAGGACAUGGGCUGAAACUUGGGAAGGAAAUAAUAAUGACACAGUGAAGGAUCGAAUUGGAUAAAAAUAUUUGUCAGAAUGUAAGUUGUGGGGGACAACAUACCCUUAGAUCUUUGUUCAUCUUCCCAGCAAGCGCCUGUAGCAGGGUAGUUUUUCCUGAGGCUGGAGGUCCCAGAAGCAGAGUCAUUCUGCAAAACACAGAAGCUAAUCAAGAAACCGGCAAAGAAAGGAAGUGUACUUAAUGGGAAAAUUUUUUGUUAUCCUAUUAAAAUUUCCCAGAAUAUGUAUCAAUCAAAUUAUAUAAAGACAUCAUUCAGGAGAUUUGUGUUAAGGGCAACAUGAUUGAUUGAAAGGUACUUCCAAAAAUGGAAUACAUUUACCUUGAUGGUUUCACGAUCCCACUCACAUCUUUUAGUAUCUUGACUACCCUUUUCUUAGAUGGGGAAAGCCUAAUCAGUCCAAGUAUUCCCUGUUCAUGACAACAAAUAAACACAAUCAUAAUUCAUUCAUCUCUACAAAUUCCAACAGUCUACUGAAUUGAAGCAAACUUCUCCCAAAAACAUUAUCAGGAGAUUGAAGUCAUUCAUCAUAAUUUGCUGAAAGGGAAAAUCAAGAAUCACCAUCGAAAACAGAAGAAGAAAAACAAAGGGACAAACAGAACAAACCACCUCUAUGAAGUUCAUGGUAGAAUUGAUCAGAGUAGGAAGUGCCCUGGUUCCAACAUAUGCGUCUCCUUCUAUUGAUAAAUGCUCAAACCGGACUUCGAUUUUUGGAAUCUCAACCCCAACCCUGUUGAGAAAACAGAUGUUACGUUCCAUAAAACUUUUCUGGUAACAAAUUCAACUGGGGCAAAGCCAAAAGCAAAAAAACACAUGACUAACAGGGUGAACUUCAUGGGAAGAAAGAGAGAAGAGUGACCUAUCAGUCCUUUCCCUGAGCCUGAGAAGGAACUUCUCAUUAUCUUCUUCAACAACCUUUGGUAUACUCUCUAUGUGAUGCUUCCUCUCCUGCAUACCAAGAUUGGUGAAGUCAACUUCCUCAUGGACAACCUUCCCAUCAUCCAAAACUUGCUUAGGCAUCUCCUUGCUCAACCGCUCAAAGGUUGGAAGCCUUUCAAUGGCCGCCCACUUCAAUUCUUCCUCAUCAUCCUCUCUCCUACUCCUCUGAAAAACAUCACCUUGAGCUGACAACGCCUCACAAAUACUCGCAGAAGCCCAACUACGCCUACUUCCAGACGAUGAACUUUUACGCCUGCUGCUCAUGGAACUUGCUAGAUCAUCCUCAGCCAAUGAUGCAGCCAUUGUCCCCCACCAAAACCCCUCAGAGUAAAGACUCCAAACCCCACUUUAUAAUAACCCUGGAAAGCUGAGAUUCAACCGGUAAGCUAGCUCAACACGCUAGAGAAGGUUUCGAUGGAAUGGUGAUGGAGUGUUCGCCUGUUAGUUUAGGAGAGUUGGCGGCGGAAACCCCUCAGAAUAAAGACUCCAAACCCCCUUUAUAAUAACCCUGGAAAGCUGAGAUUCAACCGGUAAGCAACACGCUCGAGAAGGUGUCAAUGGUGUCGGAGUGAUCGCCCGCUAGUUUAGGAGAGUUGGCGGCGGCGGUAGUCACUGCCUGCGUGGAGCCGUUGUUUGUUUUAAAGUCACAUCAUAAAAAAUUGCCUUACAUGUAAAAUUCUUUUAUCAAAAAUAAAAACUAAAAUAGAAAAUUUGCCACCUCUACAAAAAAAAUAUAAAUUUAAUUUUUCCAAAACAAAAUUAUCAUUUGUCAUUAAUUACUAAUAAUAUAUUAAGAUUGAACGAAAAUUAAAAAAUAAAAUAAAAUCUCAUUUAAUAUUUUUCGUAUUUAUUCCUUUUUAUACUCUUGUUUUAGGGUUGAUUUAGCUAAAUCGUAAAAAAUAAUACUUACUAAGUUUUUAUUAACUAUUUAUAUUUUUACUUGGAAGCAUGAAUAUAAUAUGAAUCCAUCAAAAUUUAGCUAUUAAGUUAUGGGUGUUUUAGUGAUGUAUCAUAUAAAAUAUAAAUUUUAAUUGAAAGACUUUACUUUCAACUAUCUUAUAUUUAAUUAUUUGAAAAAGAAUAAGAAUUAAGAUACUGAUUUUGUAUCUAUGAAAAUCUUAAUCUCCAUUUUUAAAAGUACAUAUAAAAAAUAAAAAUAAAAAUCUAAGUUUUUGAAUGUAAGUACAAAAAAUGAAAUCAAGUUGUAAAACACGAGACUUAACACACACGUCUUCUAUUUGAAAGAUAUCAAAAUUUAUAAUAGAAGUUAUUGAAUUUUUUUAAAAUAAUUUAAAAUGUUUUUGCUAUAAAAUGAUUAGAAUUAUUGAUCUAAUGAAUUUUUUUUCCUACUUUUUAAUUCUUUUAAACAUUUCCUUUAAAUAUUCUUGAUCAUUUUAUUUAUAUAAAGUCCAAAAAAAAUUUCAAGUGUACUUAUACCAUGGUUGUUUAAUUUAAUAUAUUUUUAUAAUUAAUAUUUAAAAUUAUUUACUUUUUAAUAAUAAUAUAAAAUAUCAUUAAUUACCUUAUAAUUUAUAAAUGAUAAUUACAAUAUAAUAUUCUUAGUGGAUGUCCUCGUGACAAAAGUCUUGGGUGGACAAGUAUAUUGCCUUUUAAAUUAUUUUACAAGUCUCGUUAUUUCCGCCCGGAUUUUUUUAUAAUUGUACCGUGAAUUUAAAAUUAAUUUUUUAAAAUACGGCACUAUGAAAACUAUUUCCAAAUCUACGGCAUUUUGUAUCACUUUUUAAAGGUAUCUCUUGAAAAGACAUUUUACAUCAUUUUUAUAUAAAUGAUACAUGUUCAAAAAAAUUGAAUUUACAUUGAAGGUAUCUCUUCAAGAGACACCUUCCACAAUUUUUAUAUCAAUAACACAUGUUAAAAAUUUUGAAUUUACAUUAAAAGUAUCUCUUUAAGAGACUUUUUUUAAUUUUAUAAAAUUAAAUUUAUAUUAAAAGUGUCUUUUAAAUAGUUAUUUUUCACGGUUUUCAUAUCAGUUGCAUAAUAAAAAAAUUGAAUUUAUACUAAAGAUGUCAGACACACUUUCUAAAAUUUCACAAAAUUAAAUUUAUAUUAAAAAUGUCUCUUGAAGAGACACCUUUAACAAUUUUUGCAUCAAUCAUCCAUUGAAAUAAUUGAAUUUAUAGGUUAUGUUUGGUUCCCGAAAAGUAUUAAGAAAAGAAAAAAAUUGCUUAAGAAAAUAAUUUUCUCAUGUUUGGUUGUCUUAUAGAAAAUAAUAAAGAAAAUAAUAUAUAAGUAAGAUUAAUUAAAAAUUUAUAUAUUUUCAAAUUAUUUAAUCUUUAUAUUGAAAAGUGAAAAUAAGUAAAAUGAGUUUGAAGUAGCAUGUAAAAAUAAUUUAUUGAUUUUAAAUCCAUUGUUAUUUUCCCUCAUUUUUUCUUUCAUUCUAUUUUCCUUUCUAUUUUCUUUCCCUUGUAUUUUCCUUUACAUUUUCCAGGAACCAAACAUAGCCUAAAAGUGUAUUUUCAAAAGACACAUUCCACAAUUCCAUAAAAUUAAAUUUAUAUUGAAAUGUUUUCCUUCAAGAAACACUUUUAGUAUAAAUUUAAUUUUUUUUUAUAGGUGACUAAUAUAAAAAUUGUAAAAAGUGUUUCUUUAAAAGACACAUUUAGUAUAAAUUCAAUUUUGUGAAAUUGUAUAGACUCCUUCAAUGUAAAUUUAUUUUUUUUCACUGUGUAAUUGAUAUGAAAAUUAUAAAAAAUGUCUCUUCUAGAGACAUCUUUAGUAUUAAUUUGAUUUUAUGGUAUUGUGGAAAUGAUAUUUUUUUAAUAUAAAUUUAAUUUUUUUUUAAUAUAUAUGACUAAUAAAAAAAUUAUGGAAAAGUGUCUUUGGAAGAGACACUUUAACAUAUAUUCAAUUUUAUGGAAUUAUGGAAUGUAUCUUUUCAAGAGACUCCUUUUGUGUAAAUUUAAUUUAAUUUUUUUUAACAUUUAUGGUUGAUAUAAAAAAUAUAGAAGAUGUCUUUUCAAAAAAUAUAUUUCAAAAUGACAAAAAAAUAUAGUAGAUUUGGAAUUAUUUUUUAAAGUACUAUUUUUUAAGAAUUAUUUUUUUAAAUAGCCGUACAAGUUUAAAAAGCCCGUCCAGGGCUGAGAACUGGAAAAAGGAAGACGGUCCGACACACUUGAUAAAAGGAGACAAGACUUUGGUCAUGUAAUUCCAAAUCUAUCGAAGGAAAAGGUAUUAAUUUGAAAGAAAUCCUAAUCAUUGACUCGGCUUCCACAUGUAUUUCUACCAUCAUCCGACCACUCAAAUUGGUUUUUUUAUAUUUAUGAUUUUCAUUGAUUUCUGUCCAACCCAAACCUAUCGAAUUAAAAGAGGAAAAGGUAUAUAUUGAUUAAAAAGAUUGGAAAGAAGUACUAAUCAUUGACUGAUAGGCUUCUUCACCAUCUAUAACAAAAGAAAUAUUUGGUUAAAAGGAUGAAAUAAUUCUCAAAAUUAAAAAUCUAACCCUUUUCAUAUUUUUUUUGAAAAAAUAAUUCAUUUUUUAUAUAAAUAUUAUUUUCUAUUUUAAGUAUUUAUAUGUAGGUUUUAAAAGAAACGGUUGUUUUUACAAGAAAAUAAUGAGAAUAUUUUUGUCCAAAUGAUACCAAAAAAUGGGUGAGAGGUUAAAUUUCAAAAGUUGGAUUUUGAGAGGCCCUUUUAAUCAAAUAACCCUUUACAAAAAUUCCUUUUCAGGUCACUCUAAUUAAGGAAAUAGACUUUUGUUUUAAAAAAACCUUUUUUGGGCAUUUUAUUAAAAAUUAACUUUUUGGACAAUUUUAUUCACAAAACGAUUUUUUAAAUCAUUUUUAUUAAAUAAAUAAUUUUUUUUUUGUUUUUUUAGGACAAUUAUUAUUAAAAACAAUUUUUUGAAAUUUUGGAUUUUUGGAUAUUCAAUUCUGUACCCAAUGAGUAAACAUAUAUAAAUGAAUAUUUACGAAUCAAUAGGAAUAAAACAAAAUCUUAACAAUGAAAUGAGUCCAUGUAAAAACAAAAAUAAACCAAAAUAAAUAUUCAAAAAUAUACAAAGUCUAAAAUUAAACUUUAAAUUAAUCCAAUAAAUUUCACCAAUUAAAAUAGAUUUAAAUUGAUAAAUAAAACCCAAUAAAAACAUCCCACAUAUUAUUAGUCUUAAUCCCAGAUCUGCAAAUUAAUCACCAAAACACAAACAUAAUCAUGAAAAUUUACUAAAAAUACCAAAAAUCUUCUCUUUGGUUCUAAUACUUAUUUUGAAAACCAUUUUUAAUUAUAAAUUUCCUCUGCAAAGUGGAUGGAGAUAUUGGCCUUAUAUCUCCUUUUUCAUUCCUCUCUAUUGUUCCUGAUCUGCACCAUUGUUGGAUCUGUUAAAAUCUGGAGAAAAAUAAGGAACUAAAACUUGUAGAAAAUAUUAGAGUAUUGAGUUGGAGAAAGGCACACAAUAUUUCACCAAUGAGAAUGCCUAUUUAUAGGCUUACAACCAAACUGAAAAUGCUAAAAACUCUCAGCUGCUAUGACUACUUCUACUAACAGAAAAACUGAAAAUUAUGGAGCAAAACUGAGUCUAACUAAGACAUUUUCAAAGGCAAACUCUCAUGAAUUCUAACACUCCUCCUUGAGAUUUGCCUUGGACAUACCAAGCUUCAACCUUAGGAACUCCAGCCUUGAUUUAGGAAGUCCUUUAGUCAUUAUGUUAGCAAGUUGCUCAUCAGUUGAGCAAUAAUGCAGCUUAACAAGUGAAUUCUUUUCAGCUUCCCUUAUGGAGUGGAAUUUUACAUUUAUGUGCUUGGUUCUGCCAUGUUGGACAGGAUUUUGAGUACUGGAAAUGGCUGACUUAUUGUCAUAGUAAAGCUCAGUUGGUGAGCUUUGUUCCUGGCCUAAAUCAGUAAGCAAUUUUCUCAACCAUAUUACUUGAUUUGCAGCAGCUGCUAAGGAGAUAUACUCAGCUUCUGUAGUUGAUUGUGCCACUACUUCUUGCUUUCUUGAAUUCCAGCAUAUGACACCUGAACUGAUUGUAAAUACAUAACCUGAAGUGCUCUUCAUAUCAUCAACACUUCCUGCCCAAUCACUAUCAGCAUAACCAUCUAGCUUAACUCCUCCUGUCUUUAAAUACCAAAUGCCAAGAUUUGUUGUACCUUUAACAUACUUUAGCACCCUCUUUGCAACUCCCAUGUGAACAUUUCUAGGUGAACUCAAGAACCUUGAAAGCAAACUAGCUGGAAACAUCAAGUCAGGUCUGGUUACUGUCAAGUAUAGUAGGCUUCCCACCAAGCUUCUAUAUGCAGAGGGUUCCUCAAGUUUCUCACCAUCAUUCUUUGAAAUUUUCUCAUUUUGUGCCAACGGAGUUGCUACUUCUUUGCAUGAUUCUAGCUUGAAUUUCUUGAGAAUAUCCAUAGCAUAUUUUCUUUGUGAAAUGAAGAUACACCAGCUGCAUUGGUAUAUUUCCAUUCCAAGGAAGUAGUUCAUGAUGCCAAGGUCAGACAUCUCAAAUGCAUCAUGCAUUUCCAUUUUGAAAUCAGCUAGCAAUUUUACAUUGCUUCCAGUCACUAGCAUGUCAUCAACAUAAAGUGAUACUACCAGUUGCAAACCAUCAUCAUUUUGUUUCAAAUACAAAGUAGCUUCAUUUUCACUCCUCCUAAAUCCAAGUUGGAUCAGAUGAGAAUCAAUUAUGCUAUACCAGGCCCUUGGUGCUUGCUUCAAACCAUAGAGAGCCUUAUGUAGCUUGUACACUUUAUGUUCAUGGCCAAUAACCUCAAAGCCUUUUGGUUGUUGAACAUAAAUUUCUUCAAGAAGUAUACCAUUUAGAAAAGUUGACUUGACAUCUAAAUGGUAUACUUUCCAUCCCAUUUGACCAGCAAGUGCAAGUAGUAGCCUUAUAGUGUCAUGUCUGGCUACUGGUGCAAAUGUAUCACCAUAGUCCACUCCAGCAACUUGAGCAAAACCCUUCACAACCAAUCUAGCCUUAUGCCUGAAGAUUGAACCAUCUGAAUUAAAUUUGGUUCUAAAAACCCAUUUUACACCAAUUACAUUCUUAACUUCAGGUAGUUCUGUCAACUUCCAGGUUCCAUUUCUUUCAAUAGCAUCAAUUUCAGCUUUCAUGACCUCAAUCCAUUCUAGAAAUCUUGCAGCUUCCGUGUAACAUGUAGGCUCAGCAUGUACAAGAUUGCACCUCUCAUACACAUCAGAUAAUGGCCUCAUCUUAAGCACAAGUGUGUCUGAAGUUGCUUCAACAUCAAGUGGACCUUCAAUGAUUAUACUUUCUAUUGCUGGUUCAAGAAUAGAUGGAGUGGUUUGAUCACAUUUAUGAACUUUCUUCAAGUCCCAAUUCCAGUAGGAGUUUUCAUCAAAGUCCACAUCUCUACUUAUCACGAUUUUCAUUCUACUCAAGCUAUAAAUUCUGUAACCUUUUGAUUCAGCUGCAUACCCAACAAAAACACCUUUCUCAGCUCUUUCAUCAAGCUUCCCUCUCUUGACAGAUGGCACAUGAAGAUAACAAAAUGAACCAAAAACUUUCAGGUGCUUGAUAGAAGGUUUUACACCAGACCAUGCCUCUAUUGGUGUUUUGCUCUAAACAGACUUAGUUGGUAGUCUGUUAAGCAAAUAUACUGAGGUGUUGACUGCUUCAGCCCAUAGAAGUUUUGGUAGCUUCUUCUCGAAUAGCAUGCACCUUGCCAUCUCCAUCACGGUUCUGUUCUUCCUCUCAAAGACUCCAUUCUGUUGUGGUGAGUAUGGAGCUAUUAGUUGGUGUACAAUUCCAGCUUCUUGACAAAAGACAUUUAACUCUUUUGAGAUAUACUCACCUCCAUUAUCAGUUCUAAGCACCUUAACGUUCUGGCCACUUUGAGUUUCAACCAUUUUCUUGAAGCUUUUGAACACAGAGAGCACUUGUGACUUGGUUUUUAGAAAAUAAACCCAAGUCAUUCUACUGAGAUCAUCAAUAAAUAAUGCAAAAUACACAUUGUUGCUCAAUGAGGCUGUGCUCAUUGGUCCACAAAUAUCUGAAUUAAUUAAUUCCAGCUUGUGAGUAGCUUUCUUGGACAUAUUUUGAGGGAAUGGUUGUCGUUGUUGCUUCCCUAGCUCACAACUUUCACAAGUUUGAGCAUUAACUGAGAUUUCAGGCAUGUCUUCAACCAUACCAGCUUCUUGCAUGAACCUCAGUGACUUCAAGUUGAAAUGACCAUAUCUUUUGUGCCAAACAACACUCUCAUCAAUCUUGGCACUAAAGACAUGACCUUCAACUAAAUCAAGCUUCAAAUAAAAGUUAUUUCCAUUCAUUUUAAUUUUUGCUAUCUCUUUUCCAUGUACAUUAGUGAUAAAACAAAAAUUUCCUUUGAAAAAGACUGCAUAUCCAUUUCUUAGCAUUUGUGCAACACUAAGAAGAUUCUGAUCUAAAUCUGGAAUGUAAAGAACAUUAGUGACAAUUUUUGUACGUCUCUUGGUGCUGAUAGCAAUUGUCCCUUUUCCUUUGGCCUGCACAACUUCACCGUUUCCCAACUUGACCUUUGGUUGAACUGAUCUAUCAAUGGAGGUAAAUAUUGACAGAUAUUUGGUCAUGUGACUCGUGCAGCCACUGUCAAUGAGCCAAGUAUUCAGUUCAUGAGAACUCAGUUCAUGAGAACUGAGUGCUUGUGAUGCCAUAAAUAAAUGCUCAUCAUCAUUUUUGUCUUCUUCAGUCACAUUUGCAUUUUGUUUUGGUUGUUGUUGAGAUUGUUUUUUCUUGGCUCUGCAAUACUUCUCACUGUGGCCAAGUUUAUUGCAGAAAUUACAAUUAAAGAGAGGUUUACCUUUGUGCCAACAAUCUUUCUCAGCAUGGUUGGUUCUUCUACAAUGAGAGCAAGACGGAAAUUUUCCUUUUCUUGAAGACCCUUCAGCUUUCUCUUUGUUGUUCUUGAAGAACUUCUUUCCUUGCAAGUUUCCAGAAUUCUUUCCCUCGUGAUUUGCUUGAAAAGCACCUUCAGUAGCUUCAUCACCUCUCAUUAAGACCCUUUGCUCUUGUGCAUGAAGCUUGCUGGUUAACUCUACAAUUGUGAGAGUUUGCAAGUCACAAGACUCUUCAAUUGCAGAAAUCUUGGCUUCAAACUUUUGAGGCACUAAAACCAUGAUCUUUUCUACCACCUUUUGAUCUGUAAAUGCCUCACCAAGAAGUCGUAUUUGGUUUACAACAUCCAUUAACCUGCCAGAAUAAUCUUUGACAAAUUCAUCGUCUUUCAUCUUCAUCAACUCAAACUCUCUCUUCAAUUUGAGGAGUCUAACAGUUUUGAAUCUUUCACUGCCCUCAAAUUCACCUUGGAGCUUGUCCCAUACUAGUUUAGGUGUUUCCAAGUUCAUGAUUUUGGUGAAGAUGUGGUCUGUAAGUCCUGAAUGUAGGCAGGUGAUGGCUUUGUCUUUCUUGAGUUUUUCUUCCUCAUAUGCUUUCAUCUGAGCAACUGUAGGAUUUGCUCCCAAUGGUGGUGGAUCAGCUUCAGACAUCACAACAUUCCACAAACCUUGAGACCUUAAAUAAAACCUCAUCUUGACAGCCCAAAUGUGAUAGUGUUCACCAUUAAACACUGAAAUUACAGAGGAAGUAUUGCUAGAAGGAGACAUGUUUGCACCACAGUUGCUUAAAAAAAAAUAGAUCACUCAACCUCACUAGUGUUUGCACUCAACCUCAUUGUGUUUAAUACUAAAAAAAAAACUUUGCCUCAUAGCCCGUAGGAAUAAUGCUCUGAUACCACUGUUAAAAUCUGGAGAAAAAUAAGGAACUAAAACUUGCAGAAAAUAUUAGAGUAUUGAGUUGGAGAAAGGCACACAAUAUUUCACCAAUGAGAAUGCCUAUUUAUAGGCUUACAACCAAACUGAAAAUGCUAAAAACCUCAGCUGCUAUGACUACUUCUACUAACAGAAAAACUGAAAAUUUUGGAGCAAAACAGAGACUGAGUCUAACUAAGACAUUUUCAAAGGCAAACUCUCAUGAAUUCUAACAGGAUCCUCAUGAUCUAUUUCCACCAAGUCCCACAAGUCACAUGCUUGCAGGUACGACUCCAUUUUCACAUCCCAUAUUUGGUAAUUUUCACCUGUGAAAACUGGAGGUGCAGACAAAAAUCUAUUUCUGCCAUAUCGGGUUUCAAGAGGAAGGAUGGGUUUUGAUUUGUUGUGGUUUAUAUCUCACUUGAUACACUCUCACACUACACAGGUCCCAAGUCAAAUAUGAAUUCAAAAAAUUCAAACUAAACUACAAACUGUUCCUCUAUCUUGUAGAAUACUCUCAACAGAAUACCAGCUUAAAUCCUGCAGCAAAUAUAGCACUUGUCAUCACUAACUUUUGGUUAAAUAAUCAUAUUGAGUCGGUUUACAACUGAAUUUAUUUGGAGGGAAUGCAAUGCAUAUCAAAAAUAAAUACAAGGCAGCCACUUCUCAUUUUGUCAAAUGUAAAUCACUCAUACUUGUGUAUGCAAAUGAAAAAGAAACAAUCAUUUUCUGAGACUUUCCUUUACCUCCUUUGGAAGUUAAGGAACUUAAUGCCAUAGGCAAAGACAAACAAGAAGAGGAGGACCCAACCAAUAUGAGCCAAGGCAACCGCUCCCAAGAAAUCAUAUUCAAAGCCUGAAGCCUCCUUAAGAUACAGCUUCACUGACUUCACACCUGCUCCAGGUACCUGAACCGGAUCCUCCUUGUUGCCCACCUGAGAUGUCACCAGUCCGUAGAUGGUCCAAGCAACAGGGGAAGCCCAGUAGUACCACCUCCACCAUAUCGGUAUUUGCUGCAGAUGUACAGUUUGUUAGAAUUCAAUAUUCUUCUACAAAAACAUACUCAAAUUCUUCGUAGGCAUACACACCAUCCUAGGGAUGAGAAAACCAGAGAAGAGAUUCCAAAAGCUUAGGAAGAAGGACAUAACAAUGGCAGCAAUUUGAUGGCUGGGAGUGAGUGCUACGAUCAUCAUUCCAUACAAUGUGAAGUAAAUAAAGCACAUGAGUAGGUAGUAGUAGAACCAUAAGAACUUAUCCACUCGCCAGUAGAAUCCCAUCAUAGAGUAGAGGAGAAGACUGUAAACCAAAGUUUGGAUUGCAACGUAAAUUGUCUCUAUGACCACCUGC